rnacentral:lncRNA from 1 species
UUUUUUUUUUUUUUUUUUUUUUCUGGUUUUCAAACUCAGUACUAUAUAUUGAACACAAGCAAAAUGAUGUGGGUAACAUUAAUGAGUGGUGAUGGAUGUAGAUGGUAUUUUUGAAUGAGUGGUUAUUAGGAUUAGAUCUCAUAUCUCAUGUUACUAUUGCUUUUCAUUGGAGAAGUCUCUCAAACUUUCUCUCUCUCUCUUUCUAUAUAUAUAGGCCACACAUAAAAUAAGAUGGUUUGUAGUGGAAGAAGACUGUAUAUAUAUAUACAUACAUAUAUAUAUAUAUAUAUAUGGGUAUAUGAGUAAAGUUCAAUGGAGACCAUUUUAUUGGAGACGGUGGAGACCACUUAUUAUGUUCUGCAAUCAAAACACUAUAAAAUACAUUAUUUUGUGAAGUAUGUUUAACAAAUAUCAUGUAUUCAUUAAAAUUGUUGAAGAUCAUCUAUGUUUCAUAAGUAUAUAAUGUAUGUUCUGCAAACUAAAUAUAUUUCGUAGAAUAUAACAUUUUGUAAUGUUUUACAUGCGAAACUUAUAUGAUAUUCAAGAUUUUAAAGUGAAAUAAUGAUUUUGUACAACAUGAUGUGCAAAACUAUACGUUUUGCAAUGUUUUUAUGCAAUAUUUCACUGGUAGAACAUAAGUGGUCUCCACGGUUUCCAAUAAAAUGGUCUACAUAGAACUUUACUCUGGGGAUAGAUAUAUGGAUGGAUUGAUGGAUUGCCCAAGUACAAACCAAUAUUAAAGUGAAAAUUACAUAUAUAAUGAUCCCCAGAAGUCACCAUCAUGUCUUAAGAAAUCACACAUAAUCCCCCGUGUUUCAAAUUUGAUCUUUCCCUCAAUCAGUGAUUUCUUAUUUUUGAAAUAUGACUUUAUUCUAUUUUUUUCUUCUCCCAACAUUUAAUGUGCAUACCAUAUGUGAUAUAUUUGGAUAUGAUGUAGAAUUUAUUUUUUAUUUAACUUUUAGUUUUUAAUUUUAUGAAGGUUCAUAGUUAAGUAUUACAAACACACACACACAUAUAUACUUUAAUUUAAUUAGUAAUAGACUUUUUUUAUGUAAUGAACAUUAUGUAUUAGUAAUUAUUGAGAAACUUGUUAUUAUAUUUAAUAAGAACUUAAUUUUUAAAAUUAAAUUUUUCUUAAAUUGAAUAUAUUAUAAUUUAAAUGAUAAACUUUCUACAAUAUAAUUUAUUUGUAUCUCAAAAAUAGUAACAUAAUAUUAGUAACCACAACUAACUUAACCUAUAAGGUUAUCUUUAAUUUUUAAAAAAUUAAUUAUUCAUCAUGAACAAAUUUUUUUAUUUUUCUCUAUUUAAUCAAAAUUAAUCUAGAAGUGUUUGUAUACUUUGACACUUAUAUAAAAUAGGUGGUUUAUAAAGCAAAAAAAUUGCUAGUUGUUUGCUUCAACACUUAAUUAAUCUAAUUGGACAUUAUUAAGGGUUUUAUUCCAAAAAGAUAUAACUAAGAACAAACUUUUUUGCCACUAGGCCCAACCCAUCAUGUGAGGAACUUAUAUUAGUAUCUGGUUUGUGCAUAGUAAAACCCUAAUCUAAGUAGCAGCCCGCCUCCCCACAUCCCUUCUCAUCAUCUUGGUUCCAUCUCACCCUAAUCAAGGUAUCACUGAGUCCUCUCCCGAUCUCUUUGUUGAACCCUCUCUGGAUCUCUUCUGAUCUCAUUGGUUACUCCAGAUCUCUUUGGUGAGCCCUAUGUGGAUGUGGAUCUCUUCUGAUCUCAUGGGUGGUGGUAAACAUGUCUGUUAGUGGUUUUUCAUUUCAGUAGCUAGAUUUGACCUUUGGUGUAUCUUUUGCUUAAUGAUUGUAUAUUUAGGCUAAACAUAUAUGAUGAAUUUGUUGUGAUCUCUAUUCCUCAUAUAUUUCAUAUAAGACCUUCAUUUAAUUGAAUUUUAAUUUUAAUAUAUUAUAUUCAUAAAUUGAUGAAUUUAUUAUGAAAUAUUUGUUAGACUUUUAUUUAAAUGAAAAAAAUACUAAAAGAAUAUGAAUAAUGAUUCUUUGCAUCAUUAUACACUAUCCAAAACUGCAAUAGUAGUGAAAACUUUUUAUUUUUAUGUCCACUAUGCAAGCAAAAUAGAUCACAUAAGUGAAUAAGGAGUCUAUGAAUGUGUUAUAUAUAUAGUGUAUUUAAUAAUUUUUCACUUAUUUUUAUUGUGUUGAAUUUUUGUGCUAUUACAUUUGAAUAUUGCACCUUCAACAUUUUAAUAUACACGUGGCUAAUUAUUUUUUUGCAGCAACUCUCCUCAUAUAGGUGAUGAUAAACAAUGAAGAAAAUGCUCCAGUAUUCUCUAAAUUAAUUAUAUUCUCCAGGUAGUAUAACAUAAACUUUUUGUUAUAACAUUACAACAGUAAUAUAUUUUUUGUACCUUAAUUAAUAGUAUUCAUACUUUGUUGUGUAGAUUUAUUAAGAUAUUAUAGUUAGGUACACCGUACAUGUGGCUUGGAGAAGUUAACUAAACAGUAAAUUCAUAGGAUUAAGAUAACACAACUACUCAACUUUGAAGAUAUAAAAAUUUAGUAAGUUUAUAAUUAAAUUUGAAUGAAACUAUCUAAUUAAGCAAUUACAGGACUUGGAGAUGAUUAGAAAAUAUUUUACAUAGGUAAUUUAAAAGGUAAUCUAAGUUCAACCCAAAUUAAAAUCUGAGCACUUGCAACAAAGCUAGACGGCUUAAACAGGUAUUGUUGUCUUGUUUUUGAAGGUGUUACGGAAUGAGACUAUCCUGAUAGAUCGGGAUUUGAAGCCUGAAUCCAGAGAAAUUUUAUCAAAAGAAAAUGCUCCUAAUUGCAUUUUAAGAUUCGAGCUCACUUACCGAGAAUCUUCUCUUAAACAUUCACUUCUUUCCUGAACUAGGUUUUGAGGUUUAAACCAUGUUAAGACAUAAUAUAAGAGGUGCAAAUUAUGUUUCUUCUUUCCACCUUUUCAGUGAUCUUCUUUAGCGGAAAAAUAUUGUUCUUAGUAUGUCAUAUAAUUAAAAAGGAAUUUUUAACGCAGUGACUUACUUUUUAUUAGAAAUUGUUCUUUAGUUUUGUCUUCUAGGUACAUUUAAGUUUUAACCCCAGGUUGAACUUGGUAGUAACGUGUUAUAAUGUACUACCCUUUGGUAGAAGAUGAUGUCUUUAUUUCUUAUCGUAUAGAUAGUUGUGCUUUCUGUUUAACUCUAAGACUUUUAUUUAAAUGAAAAAAAUACUAAAAGAAUAUGAAUAAUGAUUCUUUGCAUCAUUAUACACUAUCCAAAACUGCAAUAGUAGUGAAAACUUUUUAUUUUUAUGUCCACUAUGCAAGCAAAAUAGAUCACAUAAGUGAAUAAGGAGUCUAUGAAUGUGUUAUAUAUAUAGUGUAUUUAAUAAUUUUUCACUUAUUUUUAUUGUGUUGAAUUUUUGUGCUAUUACAUUUGAAUAUUGCACCUUCAACAUUUUAAUAUACACGUGGCUAAUUAUUUUUUUGCAGCAACUCUCCUCAUAUAGGUGAUGAUAAACAAUGAAGAAAAUGCUCCAGUAUUCUCUAAAUUAAUUAUAUUCUCCAGGUAGUAUAACAUAAACUUUUUGUUAUAACAUUACAACAGUAAUAUAUUUUUUGUACCUUAAUUAAUAGUAUUCAUACUUUGUUGUGUAGAUUUAUUAAGAUAUUAUAGUUAGGUACACCGUACAUGUGGCUUGGAGAAGUUAACUAAACAGUAAAUUCAUAGGAUUAAGAUAACACAACUACUCAACUUUGAAGAUAUAAAAAUUUAGUAAGUUUAUAAUUAAAUUUGAAUGAAACUAUCUAAUUAAGCAAUUACAGGACUUGGAGAUGAUUAGAAAAUAUUUUACAUAGGUAAUUUAAAAGGUAAUCUAAGUUCAACCCAAAUUAAAAUCUGAGCACUUGCAACAAAGCUAGACGGCUUAAACAGGUAUUGUUGUCUUGUUUUUGAAGGUGUUACGGAAUGAGACUAUCCUGAUAGAUCGGGAUUUGAAGCCUGAAUCCAGAGAAAUUUUAUCAAAAGAAAAUGCUCCUAAUUGCAUUUUAAGAUUCGAGCUCACUUACCGAGAAUCUUCUCUUAAACAUUCACUUCUUUCCUGAACUAGGUUUUGAGGUUUAAACCAUGUUAAGACAUAAUAUAAGAGGUGCAAAUUAUGUUUCUUCUUUCCACCUUUUCAGUGAUCUUCUUUAGCGGAAAAAUAUUGUUCUUAGUAUGUCAUAUAAUUAAAAAGGAAUUUUUAACGCAGUGACUUACUUUUUAUUAGAAAUUGUUCUUUAGUUUUGUCUUCUAGGUACAUUUAAGUUUUAACCCCAGGUUGAACUUGGUAGUAACGUGUUAUAAUGUACUACCCUUUGGUAGAAGAUGAUGUCUUUAUUUCUUAUCGUAUAGAUAGUUGUGCUUUCUGUUUAACUCUAGACUGUAUGUAAAAUUUACUUUUGGGGUCAUGUCUAGUUUAUGUGUACUCGUACGAUACAUUUUUUGGGUAGAUUGCAAAACCCUGAAGCACAAACCAAUUAUAAGCAUCACUGUUAUAGUAGCAACUGAAGGAUACAACUAAUAUUGUUAGAAGGAAAAGGGGAAGACCAAAGUAAGAAGUCCAAGAAACAGAUAGGUAGGGCUGUUCACGAACCGAGCCGAGCCGAGUUUUGACCGAGUCGAGCCGAGCUUUAAAUUUUUUCUUAUCGAACCGAGCCGAGUCGAGCUUUCUUAUCGAACAAAAAAGUGUGUUCGAGCUCGAGCUCGAUAACUAACGAGCCGAACACGAGCUUGUUCACGAACAAAUACGAGCCGAGUCGAGUCGAGUCGAGCCGAGCCGAGCUAGAGAAAAAUAAGGCCAAACCGCUACUUUACUCUUAAAAUAGCAAGCCAAAUAAAAUUUUUAGUAUGUUUUGAUGGUACCAUAUUAUAGUUGAUAUUCUCAUGAUCGAUUUGAUAUAUUAUAUGUUGAAUUCGGCGUUCAAUAACAUAUAUAUAUUACGAAAUUAUUAUGAAAAUAUUCUUUUUUUUCGAGCUUUAACGAGCCGAGCUCGAGCCGAACGAGUUCGAGCCGAGCUCGAGCCGAACAUACUAAAAGCUCGGCUCGAGCUCGUUUUCUUAACGAACAAUUUUUUGUGUUCGAGCUCGAGCUCGUUAACUUAACGAGCCGAGCCGAACGAGCUCUUAACGAGCCGAGCUCGAGCUUGUUCGCGAACAACUCGGUUCGUUAAACAGCUCUACAGAUAGGUUCGGUGAAAGAUAUUCUACCAGCACACACACAUAUAGAAUUAAAGAUAUUUUAGACGAAAUAUUUGUUGGAAACUAAUAUGUGUUUACUGUAUGGUGGGAAAUAUAAAACAGAAAUCUAAACACAAGCACACUAUUAUAUAUAUAUGAAAUAAGGUUAUGGCUUAAUUUUGCCUUACACAGAGUACUUAGGCUACAGCCUUUCUUGUUUCACAAACACAGAGCUUCUUCUUAGGCUACAGCCUUUCUUGUUUCACAAACACAGAGCUUCUGCUCUCUUUUUCUAUCUUGUUACAACAAGCUACUUGCGUCUAUUUAACGUACAUGCAUGAGGUUGUAUUUAUAGGAUACAAUACACACAGCUGACCUAAUUCCUUACAUCAACAUAAUAAACACCCUGCAGAUCCAAGAAAGAUAUUAACUUCAGCCUACCUUAUUUCUGGGUUGCAUCAAUGCAUAUACACCUGACCUUGUUGCCGUUUUUUGACUUCCACAAGCUUAGACUAUUAAUAUUAUCCUGCUUCAUUCUUAUCUAGCUGUAUAUAUAUAUUAUGGUUUAACUUUCCCAUGCAUGUACAUCUGUUAUUUUAAUCCUGCUAGCUGUAUUUGACUAGAUUGCUGCUUGCUUCCAUUUAUAUCCCAGAAGACCUGGAAUCUAUUGUGCUGCAUUUACCUCUGCUGCAUGCUUACUAUUCAAACCAAUUUGUUAUAAUUAAUGUAUUGCUAGCUGGAGAGUUUGAAAUUCUAACAAUAUUUUUCUGUACGUAGGUAAGAGAAGCACAGGAGGUAAUGUGGAUAUGAAAGUGAAAUCCAGUGCAGAGAACAACUUUGUAACAACUGUUGUUGAAAUACCCAAAAAAGGUGAUUUUCAGCCUACUAUACCUAGCAAGGAACCUGGGAAACAUGUGUAUAAGAGAAGUAAAGUUCAUCAGCAGAAUGGUGUGCAAGUCAAAAUUCUUGACAGUGAAUGACACUAUCAAGGUAUGUGCUGGAACUUAUUUCAUAUUAGAUACAUGCAAGUAAUUAUUUAGCUGAAGACCAUUCUUUGCAUGUGAUUUUUUAUGCGCUUUUUAAUUGCUGGAAGAUGUUGAGGAAAAAUAUAUCUGUAACUACUAUAAUAGUCUAUUUGGUCCAGUUUAUUUUGUGGCAGUUAGAUUAACCAUUAUCAAUAAUUCAUUUCAUGAUUUUCAGCUUUUCUAUUUGUAUUUUACGGCUAUGAAAAUUCUACUACUGCUAUUGUAUUGGUAACAGAAAGUUUUGUUAUUUUUUGAAGUAGUUCUGUCUGUAAACAGACAAGAUGAUCCCGAAACUCCUCCAUUUAAUCAAGAGAAUGCAAUGGAGUCCGCUCCACUUCAGAAAAAGGAUGGUCCGGGUAAGCUCAUUGACUGAACUAUAAUUGUGAUAUUAUGAUCUGGAAUCUUGUUAUGUUAUCCAUGAAAUUUACCUGUUAAAAAUCUCAAUCAACAUGCUGCAUCAAUUGAUAUAGGUGGUGGAGUUGGAACCCCUGCCAUUGUAGGCAUUGAUGCUAUGGAGAACGAACAGAGUUUGCCAUUUGUUAAGAAUCCUCUACUUUGGGAAGAUAUCCAUUCUAUGGAAACCUAUAAGAAAAUGACACAGAAGCCACACUUCGCUCCACUGUACGAACAUAUAGAAGAAGAACGUGAAGGCUUGGCAGUAGUGUUGGAAACGUGAUGGGUUUAGGCUUUAUCAACUUUGUAAAUUCAAAAUACACACGCCUGUAUAAUAAAACAAACAACAGAAAUUUUAUUUCAUAAACUCAAAGCUACAGCUUGAUUAGAACUUCGGCUCUUUAAUUUGUUUUCUUUUUCUGGUUUUCAAACUCAGUACUAUAUAUUGAACACAAGCCACAAGCAGAACCUCUAUUUAUAGGCCACACAUACAUGCUAACUUAUCUCAUUCCUUACAUCAUUACCCAGCUGUAUAAAUUAAUGUAGCCACCUUAAUUCACGGGGACAGCAACUCUUCUUCAUUCCAUCUACGCGGUUUUAUUAAUACAAAUCUGACUUGCAUGUUGACAACCCACAAAUUAAACAAGCUGCUGCAUCACCAUCUUAUCACCUGCUUCUAACCUUUCCAGAUUAUUGCUUUCCCCGUAUAUUCUUUUACACACACGUCUUUGACUUUCUCCUUGCAUGCAUGCAGAUAAUAUAGCAUUUAUACAGCCCACCAUAUUUUCAGGAUGUUGUAGCUGUUUCAUUUACUUUCUUGAGAGAGUUUAAUUUCUAACACUCCCCCUCAAACUCGACUUUCCAUCCCGAGCUUCUUUUUCACUUUAUGAAAUACAUCCGGCUUCAAUGGCUUCGUAAAAAUAUUUGCUAAAUUUUCUUCCGUCAUGCAGUGCACUAACUCCAUAAUUUUUUCGUUCACUUGUUCACGAAGAAAAUGAUAUUUAAUAUUGAUGUGCUUGCUUCGACUGUGUGACACCAGAUUUUUCGAUAGUACAGUGAAAUAGCAGAUUUAUUAUCCACGUAAAUUGUAACAGGUUCUUCCUUGACAAGAUUUAACUCGCCCAAAAUAUAGCCUAGCCACAUAGCUUGGCACGCGCAUGCUGCUGCUGCGAUGUAUUCCGCCUCACAUGUUGAGAGAGCGACUGUCAGUUGCUUCUUUGAUGACCAUGAGAUCGCCGAGCCAAUAUGAAAAGCAUAUUUUGAUGUGCUUUUUUCGUCAUCCAAGUCUCCACCAUAAUCACUGUUUGAGUAGCCAACUAAUUUUGAAUCUUGAGAUUGCGUGUAAAACAAACCAUUAUUAAGUGUACCUUUAAUAUAUCUCAAAAUUCUUUUAGCCGCCAUGAAAUGAUCUUGCUUCGGCUUCUCUUUGUACCUACUAACCAGUCCAACCGCAUACAUGAUAUCUGGACGAGUAAAAGUUAGGUAUCUCAAACUUCCAACCAAACUUUUGAACAAUGUCGGAUUUACCGACUCCCUGGUUGAAUCAAUUCUGAGCUUUAUGCUUGCUUCUGCUGGCGUGCUCUCUGGCUUGCAUUCUUCCAUUCUGAAUUUCUUUAAAAUCUGCUCCGCAUAUUUUUUCUGAGACAUAAAAAUUCCAUCUUUGCUUUGCUUCACCUCGACUCCAAAAAAGUAUGACAUUUGUCCAAUAUCUGUCAUCUCAAAUUCGCUAGUCAUAACUUUCUUAAAAUCAUCAAACAUACCAGGGUUGUUUCCGAUAAAUAUCAUGUCGUCCACAUAUAAGCAAACGAUCAUAAUAUCUCCCCCUGAAAUAGUUUUCGUGUAGAGAGCAUGCUCGUAUGGACUCUUCACAAAACCAUUCUUCUGAAAAUACUCAUCAACCCUUGUGUUCUAUGCUCUCGGUGCCUGUUUUAGGCCGUACAAUGCCUUCUUUAGCCGGUAGACUUUAUCUUCCGCGCCUUUCUGAACAUACCCUAGAGGUUGCUCGAUGUAAACUUCUUCUUUGAGAUAACCAUUUAAAAAUGUAGUGAAUCCAUUUGAAAAAUCUUCCAUUCAUUUUGAGCGGCAAUUGUUGUAAGAAGUCUGAUGGUGUCAACUCGUGCAACUGGAGCAAACACCGCAUAAUAGUAAAUGCCAUAUUGCUGCUUGUAGCCUUUAGCCACUAGCCUCGCCUUGUAUUUUUCUACUUCUCCAACCUGAUUCGUCUUGGUCUUGUAGACCCAUUUGACACCAAUUGCUUUGUGUCCUUCUGGAAGAUCUGUGAGCUCCCAAGUAUCAUUCUUCUUGAUUGCACCAAAUUCUUCGUCCAUGGCUUUGUUCCAUAUGCUUUCUUCAGAAGCUUCCUCAAAUGUAACUGGAUCACAUUCAGCCAUCAGACAAAAUAAGGAAUAAUCAAAGGUUGUUCGUACCGGACUCGUUGCUUCAUAGAUAUUAUCCAGACUCCGCAUUUUUCUUGGUGCUCCCCCUGAACUUCUGCUUCCACUUGAAUCCGAUGGUGUUGAUGCGGGAGUUUGUUGACUCGGACUUUGUGGAGGAGUUUGAUCAUCAUCAUCGUCACCUUCUAUGUUGGGGUCGUCAUUGCCAUCACCAUCAUCAUUGAAAAAUAACCCAGCAACUUUUCUUUACUCCUCGCUCCAUUUUAAUAAUUUGAUUCAUCGAACUCAACAUCUCGAGAAAUUAUUAAUUUCUUCGUGAGGGAAUUAUAGAGCCUGUACGCCUUGCUCCUUUUCUCAUAUCCGGUAAAUAUGGACUUCUCGCCUUUAUCAUCCAACUUCUUUCUUUUCUGUUCAGGAACAUGGGCAUAUGCAAUACACCCAAAAAUUCUGAGAUGUCCCACAGAUGGUUUGCUUCCACUCCAUGCUUCAUUUGGAGUUUUGUUUCUGACACUUUUUGUUGGACAGCGAUUCAACAAAUAAACUGCACAUAAAACAGCUUCAGCCCAAAAAGUUCUCGGAAAGUGCUUUGCUUUCACCAUGCUCCUUGCCAUGUCAAAAAUAGUGCGAUUCUUUCUUUCUGCAACACCAUUUUGUUGAGGAGUAUAGGCUGUUGUCAACUAAUGACUGAUUCAAUGUGCUCUGCAAAAAUUCUGAACAGAUUAGAAGUAUACUCGCCUCCUCUGUCUGAUCUGAGUACCUUCAAAUGAUGACCACUUUGCUUUUUUGCUAGUGCUUUGAACUCCUUGAAUUUAUCAAGAGCCUCCGACUUUUCUUUGAUGAUAUACACCCAACUUUUCAUGCUAAAAUCAUCAAUAAAUGUUAGGUAAUACCUAUUACCUCCAAGUGAUGAGAUAUCAAAUGGACCAGCAACAUCUGUGUGAACUAUCUCCAAUGGCCUCCUGGCUCUCCAUGAUUUUCCAACCGGAAAACUUUGCCGAUGUUGCUUCCCUUUUACACACGCUUCACAAAAAUUUUCUAGUUUGUUGAUUUCUGGCAAACCGACCACCAUUUUUGUCUUUGACAAUAAUUUCAAGCCAGAAAAUCCAAGAUGACCAUAUCUCAAAUGCCACAAUCAUGACAUUUUUAAUGAUUGACUUUAAGCACUUUUGCACCUUCGUUGUCAUAUCAAGCGUAAACAAACGAUUCUUUGACAUCUCCACAUUUGCAAUCAAUUCCCGAGCUUGAUUUCUGAUAAUCAGGGAAUUGUCCUGCAUAUGUAUAUUAUAUCCUUUCUCCACAAGUUGGCCAAGAGUAAUAAUAUUAUUUUUCAAAGCAGGAAUAUAAUAAACAUCAUUUAUAUAUUUCUUUUCGCCUUUCUCCGACAUGAUCGUGACGGUACCUUUUCCUUUGACCGGAAUCUUUGACGAGUCACCAAAAGUAACUUCUCCAGUGAUGGAGUCAUCUAUCUCCGUGAAUAACUCCUUGUGACCAGUCAUGUGAUUACUGGCCCCUGAGUCAAGAUACCAAACAUUCUUCUUGCUUUCCUCGUCUCCUUUGUAAGUGAGGAACAUAGCAGUGCCAACAUCUUUGUCUUCUUUUGCUGCUGCAAAAUGACUUCUUUCUUUCACCUUCGGUGUUCUACACUCAUAACUGAAAUGGCCAUAUUUAUUACAGUUAUAGCACUGAUAUUGACACUUAUCACCUCGUUGUUGAUAUCCGCCUCUUCCUCGGCCCCUGAAAUUUUGACCACGACCAGAUCACUGAUACCCUUCCGAAUUCUGGCCUCUAUUGGAGGACUGCCUUCCUCGUCCUCAUCCACCACCACGGUAGCCACCUCUAAAGCCACCUCUUCCACGUGCAGAACUACUACUGCUAGAACUGUCACCAAUGGACACCUAACUUUGCAACGCCUUUUCCAAAUGGCUUGCAUCAUCAUACUGGUUCAUUCGCUGCUCGUGGGCUUAAAGAGAACCUAUGAGCUCAUCAGUCGAAAUUGUGGACAGGUCUUUUGAUGACUCCUCGAUAGAAGUAACAACAUAAUCAAAUUUUCUUGUUAAUGAACGGAGCAAUUUUUCCAUGACCCGAACAUCAUCGAGACUUUCUCCAUUUCCAUUCAUCUCAUUUUUCACCGUUUUCAAACGCGUAACAAAUUCAUCAAUAUUUUCGGAACUCUUCAUCUUCAAAUUUUCGAACUCCCCACAUAGAACUUGGAGCCGAACCUUCUUGACUUUCUCGACACCCUGGAAUGAUUUCUGCAGAAUCUCCCACGCGUCUUUCGCCGUUUUUGCAUUUGAAAUUUUUUCAAAGGUUGAUUCAUCAACUCCUUGAAUAAUUGUAUAUAACGCCCUUUUGUCUUUUUUCUUGGGAUCUUUUAACGCUGUUUUCUCCGCAUCAGAAAAAAUGGCUUCAUCCUCGGGCUCGUCAUACCCAAUUUUGAUGAUAUUAAAAUAGUGAUUUGUGUUACAAAAAUUAGUGAUUCCUUCUAAUAAGUUAGAGAUUUGUAUCUAGUGUUUCUGAUGAUUGGAGAUAGCUCGAAUAUGUUAAUAAUCUAAUUGUAAUGUGAGAUGAAUGGAAAGUGACGAUGUAUAGGAUGUCAUCGCACCUUGAAGAUGAAGAAGAUGAACUAUUUAUUUGUUUUGUGUGUAUAGGAUGUGUAUAUUAGGGUGUAAUUAGAAAAGGUGGGCGGCUGUUCAAAAAUUAGUGGGCUGGGUUGUAAUUUGUUUGGGUUGGGCUGCAGUUUGUAGUUUGUAGAAUAAGAUGGUUUGUAGUGCUACAAGACUAUAUAUAUAUAUAUAUAUAUAUAUAUAUAUAUAUAUAUAUAUAUAUAUAUAUAUAUAUANAUAUAUAUAUAUGGGUGGAUUGAUGGAUUGCACAAGUACAAACCAAUAUUAAAGUUAAAAUUACAUAUAUAAUAAUCCCUAGAAGUCACCAUCAUGUCUUAAGAAAUCACACAUAAUCCCCCUGUUUCAAAUUUGAUCUUUCCCUCAAUCAGUGAUUUUUUAUUUUUGAAAUAUGACUCUAUUCUAUUUUUUUCUUCUCCCAACCUUUAAUGUGCAUACCAUAUGUGCUAUAUUUGGAUAUGAUUUAGAAUUUUUUUUAUUUAACUUUUAGUUUUUUAUUUUAUGAAGGUUUAUUAUAGUUAAGUAUUACAAACACACACACACACAUACACUUUAAUUUAAUUAGUAAAAGACUUUUUUUAUGUAAUGAACAUUAUGUAUUAGUAAUUAUUGAGAAACUUGUUAUUAUAUUUUAUAAGAACUUAAUUUUUAAAAUUAAAUUUUUCGUAAAUUGAAUAUAUUAUAAUUUAAAUGAUAAACUUUCUACAAUAUAAUUUAUUUGUAUCUCAAAAAUAGAAACAUAAUAUUUGUAACCACAAAUAACUUAACCUAUAAGGUCAUCUUUAAUUUUUAAAAAAUUAAUUAUUCAUAAUGAACAACUAUUUUUAUUUUUCUCUAUUUAAUCAAAAUUAAUCUAGAAGUGUUUGUGUACUUUGACACUCAUAUAAAAUAGGGGGUUUAUAAAGCAAAAAAAUUGCUAGUUGUUUGCAUCAACACUUAAUUAAUCUAAUUGGACAUUAUUAAAGGUUUUAUUCUAAAAAGAUAUAACUAAGUACAAACUUUUUUGCCACUAGGCCCAACCCAUCAUGCGAGGAACUUAUAAUUACCUAGAACACAUUAGUAUCCGGUUUGAGCAUAGUAAAACCCUAAUCUAAGUAGCAGCCCGCCUCUCCACAUCCCCCCCCUAAUCUAAGUAGCAGCCCGCCUCUCCACAUCCCUUCCCAUCAUCUUGGUUCCAUCUCACCCUAUUCUAGGUAUCACUGAGUCCUCUCCAGAUCUCUUUGUUGAGCCCUCUCUGGUGCUGAGCCCUCUUUGGAUCUCUUCUGAUCUCAUGGAUUACUCCAGAUCUCUUUGGUAAGCCCUCUGUGGAUGUGGAUCUCUUCUGAUCUCAUGGGUGGCACGCUUGGUAAACAUGUCUGUUAGUGGUUUUUCAUUUCGGUAGCUAGAUUUGACCUUUGGUGCAUCUUUUGCUUAAUGAUUGUAUAUUUAGGCUAUACAUAUAUGAUGAAUUUUUGUGAUCUCUAUUCCUCAUAUAUUUCAUAUAAGACCUUCAAUUUAUUGAAUUUUGAUUUUAAUGUAUUGUAUUCAUAAAUUGAUGAAUUUAUUAUGAAAUAUUUGUUUGAUUCUCAUUUAAAUGAAAAAAAUCAGUAAAAGAAUAUGAAUAAUGAUUCUUUGCAUCAUUAUACACUAUCCAAAACUGCAAUAGUUGUGAAAACUUUUUAUUUUUAUGUCCACUAUGCAAGCAAAAUAGAUCACAUAAGUGAAUAAGUAGUCUAUGAAUGUGUUAUAUAUAUAGUGUAUUUAAUAAUUUUUCACUUAUUUUUAUUGUGUUGAAUCUUUGUGCUAUUACAUUUGAAUAUUGCACCUUCAACAUUUUAAUAUACACGUGGCUAAUUAUUUUUUUGCAGCAACUCUCCUCAUAUAGGUGAUGAUAAACAAUGAAGAAAAUGCUCCAGUAUUCUCUAAAUUAAUUAUAUUCUCCAGGUAGUAUAACAUAAACUUUUAGUUAUAACAUUACAACAGUAAUAUAUUUUUCGUACCUUAAUUAAUAGUAUUCAUACUUUGUUGUGUAGAUUUAUUAAGAUAUUAUAGUUAGGUACACCGUAUAUGUGGCUCGGAGAAGUUAACUAAACAGUAAAUAUAUAGGAUUAAGAUAACACAACUACUCAACUUUGAAGAUAUAAAAGUUUAGUAAGGUUAUAAUUAAAUCUGAAUGAAACUAUCUAAUUAAGCAAUGACAGGACUUGGAGAUGAUUAGAAAAUAUUUUACAUAGGUAAUUCAAAAGGUAAUCUAAGUUCGAACAUAAAUUAAAAUCUGAGCACUUGCAACAAAGCUAGACAGCUUAAACAGGUAUUGUUGUCUUGUUUAUGAAGGUGUUACGGAAUGAGACUAUCCUGAUAGAUCAGGAUUUGAAGCCUGAAUCCUGAAAAAUUUUAUCAAAAGAAAAUGCUCCUAGUUGCAUUUUAAGAUUCGAGCUCACUUACGGAGAAUCUUCUCUUAAACAUUCACUUCUUUCCUGAACUAGGUUUUGAGGUUUAAACCAUGCAGUUAAGACAUAAUAUAAGAGGUGCGAAUGAAGUUUCUUCAUGCCACCUGUUCAGUGAUCUUCUUUAGUGGAAAAAUAUUGUUCUUAGUAUGUCAUAUAAUUAAAAAGGAAUUUUUACGGCAGUGACUUACUUUUUAUUAGAAAUUGUUCUUUAGUUUUGUCUUCUAGGUACAUUUAAGUUUUAACCCCAGGUUGAACUUGGUAGUAACGUGUUAUAAUGUACUACCCUUUGGUAGAAGAUGAUGUCUUUAUUUCUUAUCGUAUAGAUAGUUUUGCUUUCUGUUUAACUCUGGACCGUAUGUAGAAUUUACUUUUGGGGUCAUGUCUAGUUUAUGUGUACUCGUAGGAUACAUUUUUUGGGUAGAUUGCAAAACCCUGAAGGACGAACAAUUUAUAAGCAUCACUGUUAUAGUAGCAACUGAAGGAUACAAUUAAUAUUGUUAGAAGGAAAAUGGGAAGACCAAAUUAAGAAGUACAAGAAACAGAUUGGUUCGGUGAAAGAUAUUUUACCAGCACACACACAUAUAGAAUUAAAGAUAUUUUAGACGAAAUAUUUUUCUGUACGUAGGUAAGAGAAGCACAAGAGGUAAUGUGGAUAUGAAAGUGAAAUCCAGUGCAGAGAACAACUUUGUAACAACUGUUGCUGAAAUACCCAAAAAAGGUGAUUUUCAGCCUACUAUACCUAGCAAGGAACCUGGGAGACAUGUGUAUAAGAGAAGUAAAGUUCAUCAGCAGAAUGGUGUGCAAGUCAAAACUCAUGACAGUGAAUGACACUAUCAAGGUAUGUGCUGGAACUUAUUUCAUAUUAGAUAUGUCAAGUAAUUAUUUAGCUGAAGACCAUUCUUUGCAUGUGAUUUUUUAUGCGCUUUUUAAUUGCUGGAAGAUGUUGAGGAAAAAUAUAUCUGUAACUACUAUAAUAGUCUAUUUGCUCCAGUUUAUUUUGUGGCAGUUAGAUUAACCAUUAUCAAUAAUUCAUUUCAUGAUUUUCAGCUUUUCUAUUUGUAUUUUACGGCUAUGAAAAUUCUACUACUGCUAUUGUAUUGGUAACAGAAAGUUUUGUUAUUUUUUGAAGUAGUUCUGUCUGUAAACAGACAAGAUGAUUCCGAAACUCCUCCAUUUAAUCAAGAGAAUGCAAUGGAGUCCGCUCCACUUCAGAAAAAGGAUGGUCCGGGUAAGCUCAUUGACUGAACUAUAAUUGUGAUAUUAUGAUCUGGAAUCUUGUUAUGUUAUCCAUGAAAUUUACCUGUUAAAAAUCUCAAUCAACAUGCUGCAUCAAUUGAUAUAGGUGGUGGAGUUGGAACCCCUGCCAUUGUAGGCAUUGAUGCUAUGGAGAACGAACAGAGUUUGCCAUUUGUUAAGAAUCCUCUACUUUGUGAAGAUAUCCAUUCUAUGGAAACCUAUAAGAAAAUGACACAGAAGCCACACUUCGCUCCACUGUACGAACAUAUAGAAGAAGAACGUGAAGGCUUGGCAGUAGUGUUGGAAACGUGAUGGGUUUAGGCUUUAUCAACUUUGUAAAUUCAAAAUACACACGCCUGUAUAAUAAAACAAACAACACAAAUUUUAUUUCAUAAACUUAAAGCUACAGCUUGAUUAGGGCUUCGGCUCUUUGUUUUUUUUUUUUUUUUUUCUGGUUUUCAAACUCAGUACUAUAUAUUGAACACAAGCAGAACCUCUAUUUAUAGGCCACACAUACAUGCUAACUGAUCUCAUUCCUUACAUCAUUACCCAGCUGUAUAAAUUAAUGUAGCCACCUUAAUUCACGGGGACAGCAACUCUUCUUCAUUCCAUCUACGCGGUUUUAUUAAUACAAAUCAGACUUGCAUGUUGACAACCCACAAAUUAAACAAGCUGCUGCAUCACCAUCUUAUCACAUGCUUCUAACCUUUCCAGAUUAUUGCUUUCCCCGUAUAUUCUUUUACACACACGUCUUUGACUUUCUCCUUGCAUGCAUGCAGAUAAUGUAGCAUUUAUACGGCCCACCAUAUUUUCAGGAUGUUGUAGCUGUUUCAUUUACUGUCUUGAGAGAGUUUAAUUUCUAACACUCCCCUUCAAACUCGACUUUCUAUCCCGAGCUUCUUUUUCAUUUUAUGAAAUACAUUCGGCUUCAAUGGCUUCGUAAAAAUAUUUGCUAAAUUUUCUUCCGUCAUGUAGUGCACUAACUCCACAAUUUUUUCGUUUACUUGUUCACGAAGAAAAUGAUAUUUAAUAUUGAUGUGCUUGCUUCGACUGUGUGACACCAAAUUUUUCCCUAGUGAAAUAGCAGAAUUAUUAUCCACGUAAAUUGUAACAGGUUCUUUCUUGACAAGAUUUAACUCGCCCAAAAUAUAGCCUAGCCACAUAGCUCUACACGCGCAUGCUGCUGCUGCUGUGAUGUAUUCCGCCUCACAUGUGGAGAGAGCGACUGUCUGUUGCUUCUUUGAUGACCAUGAGAAUAUUGUCGAGCCAAUAUGAAAAGCAUAUCCUGAUGUGCUUUUUUAGUCAUCCAAGUCUCCACCAUAAUCACAGUUUGAGUAGCCAACUAAUUUUGAAUCUUGAGAAUGCGUGUAAAACAAACCAUUAUUAAGUGUACCUUUAAUAUAUAUCAAAAUUCUUUUAGCCGCCAUGAAAUGAUCUUGCUUCGGGAUCUCCAUGUACCUACUAACCAGUCCAAUCGCAUACAUGAUAUCUGGAAGAGUAAAAGUUAGGUACCUCAAACUUUCAACCAAACUUUUGAACAAUGUCGGAUGUACCGACUCCCUGGUUGAAUCAAUUCUGAGCUUUAUGCUUGCUUCCGCUGGCGUGCUCAAUGGCUUGCAUUCUUCCAUUUUGAAUUUCUUUAAAAUCUGCUCCGCAUAUUUUUUCUGAGACAUAAAAAUUCCAUCUUUGCUUUGCUUCACCUCGACUCCAAGAAAGUAUGACAUUUGUCCAAUAUCUGUCAUCUCAAAUUCGCUAGUCAUAACUUUCUUAAAAUCAUCAAACAUACCAGGGUCGUUGUUUCCGGUAAAUAUCAUGUCGUCCACAUAUAAGCAAACUAUCAUAAUAUCUCCCCUUGAAAUAGUUUUCGUGUAGAGAGCAUGCUCGUAUGGACUCUUCACAAAACCAUUCUUCUGAAAAUACUCAUCAACCCUUGUGUUCCAUGCUCUCGGUGCCUGUUUUAGGCCGUACAAUGCCUUCUUUAGCCAGUAGACUUUAUCUUCCUCGCCUUUCUGAACAUACCCUAAAGGUUGCUCGAUGUAAAUUUCUUCUUCGAGAUAACCAUUUAAAAAUGUUGACUUCACAUCCAUUUGAAAAAUCUUCCAUUCAUUUUGAGCGGCAAUUGAUGUAAGAAGUCUAAUGGUGUCAACUCGUGCAACUGGAGCAAACACCUCAUCAUAGUCAAUGCCAUAUUGCUGCUUGUAGCCUUUAGCCACUAGCCUCGCCUUGUAUUUUUCUACUUCUCCAUCCUGAUUCGUCUUGGUCUUGUAGACCCAUUUGACACCAAUUGCUCUGUGUCCGUCUAGAAGAUCUGUGAGCUCCCAAGUAUCAUUCUUCUUGAUUGCACCAAUUUCUUCGUCCAUGGCUUUGUUCCAUAUGCUUUCUUCAGAAGCUUCCUCAAAUGUAACUGGAUCACAUUCAGCCAUUAGACAAAAUAAGGAAUAAUCAAAGGUUGUUCGUACCGGACUCAUUGCUUCAUAGAUAUUAUCCAGACUCCGCAUUUUUCUUGGUGUUCCCCCUUAACUUCUGCUUCCACUUGAAUCCGAUGGUGUUGAUGCGGGAGUUUGUUGACUCGGACUUUGUGGAGGAGUUUGAUCAUCAUCAUCGUCACCUUCUAUGUUGGGGUUGUCAUUGCCAUCAUCAUCAUCAUUGAAAAAUAACCCAGCAACUUUUCUUUCCUCCUCGCUCCAUUUCUAAUAAUUUGAUUCAUCGAACUCAACAUCUCGAGAAAUUAUUAAUUUCUUCGUGAGGGGAUUAUAGAGCCUGUACGCCUUGCUCCUUUUCUCAUAUCCGGUAAAUAUGCACUUCUCGCCUUUAUCAUCCAACUUCUUUCUUUUCUGUUCAGGAACAUGGGCAUAUGCAAUACACCCAAAAAUUCUGAGAUGUCCCACAGAUGGUUUGCUUCCACUCCAUGCUUCAUUUGGAGUUUUGUUUCUGACACUUUUUGUUGGACAGCGAUUCAACAAAUAAACUACACAUAAAACAGCUUCAGCCCAAAAGGUUCUCGGCAAGUGCUUUGCUUUCACCAUGCUCCUUGCCAUGUCAAGAAUAGUGCGAUUCUUUCUUUCUGCAACACCAUUUUGUUGAGGAAUAUAGGCUAUUGUCAACUGAUGAUUGAUUCCAUGUGCUCUGCAAAUACUUCUGAACAGAUUAGAAGUAUACUCGCCUCCUCUGUCUGAUCUGAGUACCUUCAAAUAAUGACCACUUUGCUUUUCUGCCAGUGCUUUGAACUCCUUGAAUUUAUGAAGAGCCUCCGACUUUUCUUUGAUGAUAUACACCCAACUUUUCCUGCUAAAAUCAUCAAUAAAUGUUAGGUAAUACCUAUUACCUCCAAGUGAUGAGAUAUCAAAUGGACCAGCAAUAUCUGUGUGAACUAUCUCCAAUGGCCUCCUGGCUCUCCAUGAUUUUCCAACGGGAAAACUUUGCCGAUGUUGCUUCCCUUUUACACACGCUUCACACAAAUUUUCUGGUUUGUUGAUUUCUGGCAAACAGUCCACCAUUUUUGUCUUUGACAAUAAUUUCAAGCCAAAAAAUCCAAGAUGGCCAUAUCUCAAAUGCCACAACCACGAGUCAUUUUUAAUGACUGACUUUUCCAAUCACCAUUCUCCUACCAUCUUUCUUCUUAAAUUCAAUUCCAAUCGAAACCCCCUUGAUUCUCUCCCUAUGCGGUGUCGCUGCUUGAGCGGACUCCACCACCAACCGUCGCUGCACUAAUCCCCACACACGCACAACCCACUGUAAAUUACUCUAAUAUCGGCUCAGAUAUGCAAAAUUCGCCAGUGGUGAUUUUUUAUUACACAACAGGUGAUUUUCUAUUGUUUUUUGUUGAUUCGUAUUGAUUUUUGUUGAGUUUGACUUCUUCCUGGUGAUUAUGUGGCGGUGGUUGUGUGAAUAUGGUGGUGGCGGGGGAGGCGGGUGCGACGAUUAAUGGUGGUUGUGGGGGAUUUUGUUUGGUUGUGGUGAUUUCUACUGAGAUCUGGUGAUUUCUGCAUGGAGAUGGUGAUUUUUAAGUGGUGGUUGGUGACGUUGGGAAGUGUGGUGACCAAAGGAGGAGGUGGUGCUGUGGUUUUCUUCUGGUGAUUUUCUGCUCAUAGUGGUGAUUUUUGACUUCUGGUGGCCGGAGGUGGAGGUUGCCGAUUGAUGGAGGUGAUGGUCGGAAUAAGAAGAUGAUGAUGGUAGGUGAUGAUGAUGUGGGUAACAAUAAUGAGAGGUGAUGGAUGUAGAUGGUAUUUUUGAAUGAGUGGUUAUUAGGAUUAGAUCUCAUAUCUCAUGUUACUAUUGGUUUUCAUUGGAGCAAGUCUCUCUCUCUUUCUAUAUAUAUAUAUAUAUAUAUAUAACAAAGUUGCGCUUUGAACAUAUAUAUAUAUGUAUAUAGAAAGUCAAACCAUGCGACAGUCAAUUCUUGCGCCUCACAAUGUCUUCAUAGCAGCCACUGUAGUUAUAGUACUUGGAGAAAAUCCAAGUAACCAAGGUUGCGCCUGGGAGAGUAUAUGUGUGGCGCCAACUUUGACUUCGAGUCAAAAGUUGCGCCUCACAGGGCAUCAGUAUGUUACUUAGAGUAUGAUGCAUAAAUUUUAAUUUUAAUCUAGAAUACUAAUCAUAAUAACAGACACAAAUAAUUUAACACAUACAAUCUAAGUAAAAUAAUUGAUUUUAAAUUUGGUUAUACUGUAUAGGCACUUUGGAUGAAUAACUAGUUUCAAUAUUAUGAUUAAAUUUCAACAUUUUUUUGGAGGAAAAAUUAUGAAACUUCAGUUAUUUUUUCAUAUACUAACUAUAUAUUUGAUGAAUAAUGAGAUUGAUACAUGAAUUUUAUGUGUAUAUAUAAGUGUUCUUCAUUAGACUCUAUAUAUUGUGAUUCUCUGUACAUUGACUGUCUCUCUCUAUAUAUAGUGUGUGUGUGUGUGUAUAUAUAUAUAUAUAGGCUCUUGCUCAAAUGAGAACCACAUAUUUUAAAUUUCUAUUUUAUCUUUCAUCUCUUUCAUCCACCUCUCUACCCACCCCCAACCACCAUCCACCACACCCACACCCAACCACCACCACCACCCACCACCCACCACCAUCACCACCACGACGCACCAACACCACACACCAGCUCCAAUCCGAACAUUAGAUCUACUCAUAUCUCUCUCUAGCGCUGCAGUAGCGCGGCCUUCCGCCGACCUCUGCCAUGGCGGUCGCCGCCGACAUCUCUGUCACAUCACGCUGCAGCCGACGUCUCCGCACGUCGCCAAUCGCGGCUCGGCUUCCUUCGCCGUCGUCUCAAGCCGCAAGAAGAGAAUACGGAGGAGGAUAGAUCUGAGGUUUGGAAGGAGAUCGUGAACCAACCACUAGUGACUAGUGGUGUGUUCGCCGGAGAUGCUGCUCUUGGUGGUGUGAUGAGUGGCGGUGUGAUUGUGUAUCCGGUUGCUUAUGUGGUGAUUUUUCUUUUUACGGUGGUGAUUUUAUUUUGUAUUUGGUGAUUUUUCAGAUUUGUGGGUAGCGGUGGUGGUUUUUAGAUGGUGGCAGUGUGGUGAUUUUAAUUUUCUGGUGUUGAUUUUUGGUUUUCUGACGGUGAUUUUUAGUAUUCCGGUGGUGAUUUUAUAUUUUACGGUGAUGAUUUUAUUUUUGUCGGUGGUGAUUUUCUGGUGGUCGCCGGAGGUGGUGGUGGUGGUCAACGGUGGUUGAAGGUGAUAGGUAGUUGAAUUAGAAGAUGAUAAAAUAUUAAAAUAUUAAAUGAAUGGUGAGAGAUGAAUAUAAUGUAUUUAAAUGAGUGGCUGAGAUUAGAUCUCAUAUCUCACCAUAAGAAGAGUUCUCAUUUGAGCAAGACCCUAUAUAUAUAUAUAUCUUUCUCCUUGAAACCCANUACAAACCUAAAAACCACUAUAAUUCCACUCCAAUUUUUGCUAUGAGCACUUCAUUUUAUUUUAUUUUUUUUAUUUUCUGGGGGAACACACGUUGACGUGGCAGGUGCCACGUCAGCACUUGCUGACGUGGCAGAUGACGUGGCAGGCGGGGGGUGGCCCUCGCUGCUGACAUGGCAGGGUGAGGUGGACUCCAGUGCUGACGUGGCAGGGGUAGAAAGUGUAAGUUUUGGAACGUUGAUGGCAAAACUAGGGGGGAUAUUGUUAGUUUUUAAAAGUUUGAGGAGAUAUUUGUUAAUUUUGAAACCAGUUUUUAGGUUUUUAUGCUAAGUGUGGUUUGUAUUUGAUCAUCUCCAUAUAUCGUUUGUGACAACUGUGACAACAAUUGUUCAACACUUCUUAUAAAGUGCAGAAUAAUUCUUUUGGAAAAUUUUCACUUCUUGAAUGGUUUAUUAUUCUACAACAGAACAAUAGAUUUUCACUGUUGUUACGCUAAAAACUAUUCUCCAUUGAGCACCACAAUAUAUAUAUAUAUAUAUAUAGACACACACACACGGAUUAUCUAGUGUGUGCCCAUGGGCACACACUAACAACCACUUUUUAAGUAGGUAGACACACACACACGGAUUAUCUAGUGUGUGCCCAUGGGCACACACUAACAACCACUUUUUAAGUAGGUGGAGCAUUUCUAUUGGCUAAAACUCAUUAAUAAUCAUGGCCCCCUGCAUAUGCACAAAAAUCAUGACCAGUAAAAAUCCUCCACCUCAACAAAAAGUAGUUGUUAGUGUGUACCCAUGGGCACACACUGGAAAGACCUAUAUAUAAAACACACACACACACACACAUAGGGUCCUACUCCAAAAGAAACUACCAAAAUAUAAACUAAAUAGAAACCAAUACGAUUAACUAGAAUGAUGCGGGUUUUCGGAAUGAGGAUGGACCCCGAGAUGGGCCUAAACAGGGUCUAAGUGGAGCCUAAUAGGGCUAGGUCGGGGCCUAGUGGGACCGUGGUGGAGACAAGAUUUGGCUCUUUAAGACUGCCCGGAGCUUGUCCAGGGCAUGUGAGGAUCCUUGGCGAGGCCCCAACGGGCCCGCGGUGGAUUGAGUUAGAGUGAGGGUGGGCCUAGGUGGGUGAUGACAUAUAGGGGUGGGUGUUGACAUAUAGGGUUGGGUGAGGUCAUUUAGGUAUAGUUUCUCUUGGUUUCCAUUUUAGUUUUUAUUUUAGUGGGUUCUAUUUGAGCAAUUGCCUAUAUACAUAGAUACAUACAUACGUGUGUGUAUAUAUAUAUUUAUAUAUAUAUAUAUAUAAGCUCAUGAUAAAAUACAAACCAAUCUUAAAAUAAAAACUAAAAACCAUUAUUAAAACUCCUUAAAUUACUAAAGGCACUCAUCUACACUAAUUACAACCCAGCAUAGCAAACCCCCACCCAAAUCUGCUAAGAUCUUUCCCCUCAUUCCAUGUCGCCACUACUUUACCCAUAUGUCUCUCACCAACCCCAUUUUUUCUCUCUCUUCUUUCAACUCCGCACAUCCGCCAUCACUAUCCACUGCCUCACUACUGCUCCUGACUUCACCAUCACCAUUAUUACCUCUGCCCAACCUCUCCCCACCAUCACCAUCUUCAUCCUUGCUUCGCCAUCACCAUCUUCAUCCUUUCCCUGCCAUCACCAUCUUCUUCCUUUUCCCAUCAUGACUAUCUCUCUCAUCUAUGUCCCCCUUCCUCGAUCUUUUUCGAACAAUCUUUCUCUCAAGAAUGAUUAGAGCUCAGUCAUGGAUUUUAACGUUGUUAAAAUUCUGAUAUAGCUGUUAAUAUAUUUAUAAAAAUCGAUGAUUUCUUCCGUACAAAUUAGUGAUAUUCGCUUUAGAAAAUAAUGAUAUACAUUGUUAAAAUUAGUGAUAUUUGGUUUGGAAAGUUGUGAUUUGUGUUACAAAAAUUAGUGAUUCCUUUUAAUAAGUUAGAGAUUUGUAUCUAGUGUUACUGAUGAUUAUUGGAGAUAGCUCGGAUAUGUUAAUAAUCUAAUUGUGAUGUGAGAUGAAUGGAAAGUGACGAUGUACAGGAUGUCAUGGCACCUUGAAGAUGAAGAAGAUGAACUAUAGUGCGUGUUUAUUUGUUUUGUGUGUAUAGGAUGUGUAUAUUAGGGUGUAAUUAGAAAAGGUGGGCGGCUGUUCAAAAAUUAGUGGGUCGGGUUGUAAUUUGUUUGGGUUGGGCUGCAGUUUGCAGUUUGUAGAAUAGAUGGUUUGUAGUGGAACAAGACUGACUAUAUAUAUAUAUAUAUAUAUAUAUAUAUAUAUAUAUAUAUAUAUAUAUAUAGAGAGGCCCAAGUACAAACCAAUAUUAAAGUGAAAAUUACAUAUAUAAUAAUCCCUAGAAGUCACCAUCAUGUCUUAAGAAAUCACACAUAAUCCCCCGUGUUUCAAAUUUGAUCCUUCCCUCAGUGAUUUUUUAUUUUUGAAAUAUGAUUUUAUUCUAUUUUUUUCUUCUCCCAACCUUUAAUGUGCAUACCAUAUGUGCUAUAUUUGGAUAUGAUUUAGAAUUUUUUUUUAUAUAACUUCUAGUUUUUUAUUUUAUGAAGGUUUAUAGUUAAGUAUUACAAACACACACACACACACACAUAUAUAUACUUUAAUUUAAUUAGUAAAAGACUUUUUUUAUGUAGUGAACAUUAUGUAUUAGUAAUUAUUGAGAAACUUGUUAUUAUAUUUUAUAAGAACUUAAUUUCUAAAAUGAAAGUUUUCAAAAAUUGAAUAAAUUAUAAUUUAAAUGAUAAACUUUCUACAAUAUAAUUUAUUUGUAUCUCAAAAAUAGUAACAUAAUAUUAGUAACCACAACUAACUUAACCUAUAAGGUUAUCUUUAAUUUUUAAAAAAUUAAUUAUUCAUAAUGAACAAAUAUUUUUAUUUUUCUCUAUUUAAUCAAAAUUAAUCUAGAAGUGUUUGUGUACUUUGACACUUAUAUAAAAUAGGUGGUUUAUAAAGCAAAAAAAUUGCUAGUUGUUUGCAUCAACACUUAAUUAAUCUAAUUGGACAUUAUUAAGGGUUUUAUUCUAAAAAGAUAUAACUAAGUACAAACGUUUUUGCCACUAGGCCCAGCCCAUCAUGUGAGGAACUUAUAAUUACCUUGAACACAUUAGUAUCCGAUUUGUGCAUAGUAAACCCCUAAUCUAAGUAGCAGCCCGCCUCUCCACAUCCCUUCCCAUCAUCUUGGUUCCAUCUCACCCUAAUCUAGGUAUCACUGAGUCCUCUCCAGAUCUCUUUGCUGAGCCCUCUCCUCUCCAGAUCUCUUUGCUGAGCCCUCUCUGGAUCUCUUCUGAUCUCAUGGGUUACUCCAGAUCUCUUUGGUGAGCCCUCUGUGGAUGUGGAUCUCUUCUGAUCUCAUGGGUGGCAGGCUUGGUAAACAUGUCUGUUAGUGGUUUUUCAUUUCAGUAGCUAGAUUUGAGCUUUGGUGUAUCUUUUGCUUAAUUAAUGAUUGUAUAUUUAGGCUAUACAUAUAUGAUGAAUUUGUUGUGAUCUCUAUUCCUCAUAUAUUUCAUAUAAGACCUUCAUUUAAUUGAUUUUUAAUUUUAAUGUAUUAUAUUCAUAAAUUGAUGAAUUUAUUAUGAAAUAUUUGUUUGAUUCUUAUUUAAAUGAAAAAAAUCAGUAAAAGAAUAUGAAUAAUGAUUCUUUGCAUCAUUAUACACUAUCCAAAACUGCAAUAGUAGUGAAAACUUUUUAUUUUUAUGUCCACUAUGCAAGCAAAAUAGAUCACAUAAGUGAAUAAGGAGUCUAUGAAUGUGUUAUAUAUAUAGUGUAUUUAAUAAUUUUUCACUUAUUUUUAUUGUGUUGAAUCUUUGUGCUAUUACAUUUGAAUAUUGCACCUUCAACAUUUUAAUAUACACGUGGCUAAUUAUUUUUUUGCAGCAACUCUCCACAUAUAGGUGAUGAUAAACAAUGAAGAAAAUGCUCCAGUAUUCUCUAAAUUAAUUAUAUUCUCCAGGUAGUAUAACAUAAACUUUUAGUUAUAACAUUACAAUAAUAAUAUAUUUCUUUGUACCUUAAUUAAUAGUAUUCAUACUUUGUUGUGUAGAUUUAUUAAGAUAUUAUAGUUAGGUACACCGUAUAUGUGGCUUGGAGAAGUUAACUAAACAGUAAAUUCAUAGGAUUAAGAUAACACAACUACUCAACUUUGAAGAUAUAAAAAUUUAAUAAGGUUAUAAUUAAAUCUGAAUGAAACUUUCUAAUUAAGCAAUGACAGGACUUGGAGAUGAUUAGAAAAUAUUUUACAUAGGUAAUUCAAAAGGUAAUCUAAGUUCAACAGAAAUUAAAAUCUGAGCACUUGCAACAAAGCUAGACAGCUUAAACAGGUAUUGUUGUCUUGUUUAUGAAGGUGUUACGGAAUGAGACUAUCCUGAUAGAUCAGGAUUUGAAGCCUGAAUCCUGAGAAAUUUUAUCAAAAGAAAAUGCUCCUAAUUGCAUUUUAAGAUUCGAGCUCACUUACGGAGAAUCUUCUCUUAAACAUUCACUUCUUUCCUGAACUAGGUUUUGAGGUUUUAACCAUGUUAAGAAUAUAAGAGGUGCGAAUGAAGUUUCUUCUUGCCACCUUUUCAGUGAUCUUCUUUAGCGGAAAAAUAUUGUUCUUAGUAUGUCAUAUAAUUAAAAAGGAAUUUUUACGGCAGUGACUUACUUUUUAUUAGAAAUUGUUCUUUAGUUUUGUCUUCUAGGUACAUUUAAGUUUUAACCCCAGGUUGAACUUGGUAGUAACGUGUUAUAAUGUACUACCCUUUGGUAGAAGAUGAUGUCUUUAUUUCUUAUCGUAUAGAUAGUUUUGCUUUCUGUUUAACUCUGGACCGUAUGUAGAAUUUACUUUUGGGGUCAUGUCUAGUUUAUGUGUACUCGUAGGAUACAUUUUUUGGGUAGAUUGCAAAACCCUGAAGGACGAACAAUUUAUAAGCAUCACUGUUAUAGUAGCAACUGAAGGAUACAAUUAAUAUUGUUAGAAGGAAAAUGGGAAGACCAAAUUAAGAAGUACAAGAAACAGAUUGGUUCGGUGAAAGAUAUUUUACCAGCACACACACAUAUAGAAUUAAAGAUAUUUUAGACGAAAUAUUUUUCUGUACGUAGGUAAGAGAAGCACAAGAGGUAAUGUGGAUAUGAAAGUGAAAUCCAGUGCAGAGAACAACUUUGUAACAACUGUUGCUGAAAUACCCAAAAAAGGUGAUUUUCAGCCUACUAUACCUAGCAAGGAACCUGGGAGACAUGUGUAUAAGAGAAGUAAAGUUCAUCAGCAGAAUGGUGUGCAAGUCAAAACUCAUGACAGUGAAUGACACUAUCAAGGUAUGUGCUGGAACUUAUUUCAUAUUAGAUAUGUCAAGUAAUUAUUUAGCUGAAGACCAUUCUUUGCAUGUGAUUUUUUAUGCGCUUUUUAAUUGCUGGAAGAUGUUGAGGAAAAAUAUAUCUGUAACUACUAUAAUAGUCUAUUUGCUCCAGUUUAUUUUGUGGCAGUUAGAUUAACCAUUAUCAAUAAUUCAUUUCAUGAUUUUCAGCUUUUCUAUUUGUAUUUUACGGCUAUGAAAAUUCUACUACUGCUAUUGUAUUGGUAACAGAAAGUUUUGUUAUUUUUUGAAGUAGUUCUGUCUGUAAACAGACAAGAUGAUUCCGAAACUCCUCCAUUUAAUCAAGAGAAUGCAAUGGAGUCCGCUCCACUUCAGAAAAAGGAUGGUCCGGGUAAGCUCAUUGACUGAACUAUAAUUGUGAUAUUAUGAUCUGGAAUCUUGUUAUGUUAUCCAUGAAAUUUACCUGUUAAAAAUCUCAAUCAACAUGCUGCAUCAAUUGAUAUAGGUGGUGGAGUUGGAACCCCUGCCAUUGUAGGCAUUGAUGCUAUGGAGAACGAACAGAGUUUGCCAUUUGUUAAGAAUCAUCUACUUUGUGAAGAUAUCCAUUCUAUGGAAACCUAUAAGAAAAUGACACAGAAGCCACACUUCGCCCCACUGUACGAACAUAUAGAAGAAGAACGUGAAGGCUUGGCAGUAGUGUUGGAAACGUGAUGGGUUUAGGCUUUAUCAACUUUGUAAAUUCAAAAUACACACGCCUGUAUAAUAAAACAAACAACAGAAAUUUUAUUUCAUAAACUCAAAGCUACAGCUUGAUUAUAAGAGCUUCGGCUCUUUUGUUUUCUUUUUCUGGUUUUCAAACUCAGUACUAUAUAUUGAACACAAGCCACAAGCAGAACCUCUAUUUAUAGGCCACACAUACAUGCUAACUUAUCUCAUUCCUUACAUCAUUACCCAGCUGUAUAAAUUAAUGUAGCCACCUUAAUUCACGGGGACAGCAACUCUUCUUCAUUCCAUCUACGCGGUUUUAUUAAUACAAAUCUGACUUGCAUGUUGACAACCCACAAAUUAAACAAGCUGCUGCAUCACCAUCUUAUCACCUGCUUCUAACCUUUCCAGAUUAUUGCUUUCCCCGUAUAUUCUUUUACACACACGUCUUUGACUUUCUCCUUGCAUGCAUGCAGAUAAUGUAGCAUUUAUACAGCCCACCAUAUUUUCAGGAUGUUGUAGCUGUUUCAUUUACUGUCUUGAGAGAGUUUAAUUUCUAACACUCCCCUUCAAACUCGACUUUCCAUCCCGAGCUUCAUUUUCAUUUUAUGAAAUACAUCCGGCUUCAAUGGCUUCGUAAAAAUAUUUGCUAAAUUUUCUUCCGUCAUGCAGUGCACUAACUCCACAAUUUUUUCGUUUACUUGUUCACGAAGAAAAUGAUAUUUAAUAUUGAUGUGCUUGCUUCGACUGUGUGACACCAGAUUUUUCGCUAGUGAAAUAGCAUAUCCUGAUGUGCUUUUUUAGUCAUCCAAGUCUCCACCAUAAUCACAGUUUGAGUAGCUAACUAAUUUUGAAUCCUGAGAAUGCGUGUAAAACAAACCAUUAUUAAGUGUACCCUUAAUAUAUAUCAAAAUUCUUUUAGCCGCCAUGAAAUGAUCUUGCUUCGGCUUCUCCAUGUACCUACUAACCAGUCCAACCGCAUACAUGAUAUCUGGAAGAGUAAACGUUAGGUACCUCAAACUUCCAACCAAACUUUUGAACAAUCUCGGAUGUACCGACUCCCUGGUUGAAUCAAUUCUGAGCUUUAUGCUUGCUUCUGCUGGCGUGCUCAAUGGCUUGCAUUCUUCUAUUUUGAAUUUCUUUAAAAUCUGCUCCGCAUAUUUGUUCUGAUACAUAAAAAUUCCAUCUUUGAUUUGCUUCACCUCGACUCCAAGAAAGUAUGACAUUUGUCUAAUAUUCGUCAUCUCAAAUUCGCUAGUCAUAACUUUCUUAAAAUCAUCAAACAUACCAGGGUCGUUGUUUCCGGUAAAUAUCAUGUCGUCCACAUAUAAGCCAACAAUCAUAAUAUCUCCCCUUGAAAUAGUUUUUGUGUAGAGAGCAUGCUCGUAUGGACUCUUCACAAAACCAUUCUUCUGAAAAUACUCAUCAACUCUUGUGUUCCAUGCUCUCGGUGCCUGUUUUAGGCCGUACAAUGCCUUCUUUAGCCGGUAGACUUUAUCUUCCUCGCCUUUCUGAACAUACCCUAAAGGUUGCUCGAUGUAAAUUUCUUCUUCGAGAUAACCAUUUAAAAAUGUUGACUUCACAUCCAUUUGAAAAAUCUUCCAUUCAUUUUGAGCGGCAAUUGAUGUAAGAAGUCUGAUGGUGUCAACUCGUGCAACUGGAGCAAACACCUCAUCAUAGUCAAUGCCAUAUCGCUGCUUGUAGCCUUUAGCCACUAGCCUCGCCUUGUAUUUUUCUACUUCUCCAUCCUGAUUCGUCUUGGUCUUGUAGACCCAUUUGACACCAAUUGCUCUGUGUCCUUCUAGAAGAUCUGUGAGCUCCCAAGUAUCAUUCUUCUUGAUUGCACCAAUUUCUUUGUCCAUGGCUUUGUUCCAUAUGCUUUCUUCAGAAGCUUCCUCAAAUGUAACUGGAUCACAUUCAGCCAUUAGACAAAAUAAGGAAUAAUCAAAGGUUGUUCGUACCGGACUCAUUGCUUCAUAGAUAUUAUCUAGACUCCGCAUUUUUCUUGGUGUUCCCCCUUAACUUCUGCUUCCACUUGAAUCCGAUGGUGUUGAUGCGGGAGUUUGUUGACUCGGACUUUGUGGAGGAGUUUGAUCAUCAUCAUCGUCACCUUCUAUGUUGGGGUUGUCAUUGCCAUCAUCAUCAUCAUUGAAAAAUAACCCAGCAACUUUUCUUUCCUCCUCGCUCCAUUUCUAAUAAUUUGAUUCAUCGAACUCAACAUCUCGAGAAAUUAUUAAUUUCUUCGUGAGGGGAUUAUAGAGCCUGUACGCCUUGCUCCUUUUCUCAUAUCCGGUAAAUAUGCACUUCUCGCCUUUAUCAUCCAACUUCUUUCUUUUCUGUUCAGGAACAUGGGCAUAUGCAAUACACCCAAAAAUUCUGAGAUGUCCCACAGAUGGUUUGCUUCCACUUCAUGCUUCAUUUGGAGUUUUGUUUCUGACACUUUUUGUUGGACAGCGAUUCAACAAAUAAACUUCACAUAAAACAGUUCAGCCCAAAAGGUUCUCGGCAAGUGCAUUGCUUUCACCAUGCACCUUGUCAUGUCAAGAAUAGUGCGAUUCUUUCUUUCUGCAACACCAUUUAGUUGAGGAAUAUAGGCUGUUGUCAACUGAUGAUUGAUUCCAUGUGCUCUGCAAAUACUUCUGAACAGAUUAAUAGUAUACUCGCCUCCUCUGUCUGAUGUGAGUACCUUCAAAUAAUGACCACUUUGCUUUUCAGCCAGUGCUUUGAGCUCCUUGAAUUUAUGAAGAGCCUCCGACUUUUCUUUGAUGAUAUACACCCAACUUUUCCUGCUAAAAUCAUCAAUAAAUGUUAGGUAAUACCUAUUACCUCCAAGUGAUGAGAUAUCAAAUGGACCAGCAAUAUCUGUGUGAACUAUCUCCAAUGGCCUCCUGGCUCUCCAUGAUUUUCCAACGGGAAAACUUUGCCGAUGUUGCUUCCCUUUUACACACGCUUCACACAAAUUUUCUGGUUUGUUGAUUUCUGGCAAACAGUCCACCAUUUUUGUCUUUGACAAUAAUUUCAAGCCAGAAAAUCCAAGAUGACCAUAUCUCAAAUGCCACAACCACGAGUCAUUUUUAAUGACUGACUUUAAGCACUUUUGCACCUUCGUUUGCAUAUCAAGCGUAAACAAACGAUUCUUUGACAUCUCUACAUUUGCAAUCAAUUCCCGAGCUUGAUUUAUGAUAAUGAAAGAAUUGUCCUGAAUAUGUAUAUUAUAUCCGUUCUCCACAAGUUGGCCAAGACUGAUAAUAUUAUUUUUCAAAGCAAGAAAAUAAUAAAGAUCAUUUAUAUAUUUCUUUUUGCCUUUCUUCGACAUGAUCGUGACGGUACCUUUUCCUUUGACCAGAAUCUUUGACGAGUCACCAAAAGUAACUUCUCCAGUGAUGGAGUCGUCUAUCUCCGUGAAUAACUCCUGGUGACCAGUCAUGUGAUUACUGGCCCCUGAGUCAAGAUACCAAACAUUCUUCUUGCUUUCCUCGUCUCCUUUGUAAGUGAAGAACAUAGCAGUGCCAACAUCUUUGUCUACUUUUGCUGCUGCAAAAUGAUUUCUUUCUUGCACCUUCGAUGUUCUACACUCAUAACUGAAAUGGCCAUAUUUAUUACAGUUAUUGCACUGAUAUUGAGACUUAUCACCUCGUUGUUGAUAUCCGCCUCGUCCUCGACCCCUGAAAUUUUGACCACGACCAGAUGACUGAUACCCUUCAGAAUUCUGGCCUCUAUUGGAGGACUGCCUUCCUCGUCCUCGUCCACCACCACGGUAGCCACCUCUUCCACGUGCAGAACUGCUACUGCCAGAACUGUCACCAAUGGACACCUAACUUUGCAACGCCUUUUCCAAAUGGCUUGCAUCAUCAUACUGGUUCAUUCGCUGCUCGUGGGCUUAAAGAGAACCUAUGAGCUCAUCAAUCGAAAUUGUGGACAGGUCUUUUGAUGACUCCUCGAUAGAAUUAACAACGUAAUCAAAUUUUCUUGUCAAUGAACGGAGCAAUUUUUCCAUGACCCGAACAUCAUCGAGACUUUCUCCAUUUCUUUUCAUCUCAUUUGUCACCGUUUUCAAACGCGUAACAAAUUCAUCAAUAUUUUCGGAACUCUUCAUCUUCAAAUUUUCGAACUCCCCACGUUGAACUUGGAGCCGAACCUUUUUGACUUUCUCGACAUCCUGGAAUGAUUUCUGCAGAAUCUCGCACGCGUCUUUCGCCUUUUUGCAUUUGGCAUUUUUUUCAAAAUUUGAUUCAUCAACUCCUUGAAUAAUUGUAUAUAACGCCCUUUGGUCUUUUUUCUUGGAAUCUUUUAACGCCGUUUUCUACGCAUCAGAAAAAAUGGCUUCAUCCUUGGGCUCGUCAUACCCACUUUCGAUGAUAUCACAAUUAUCGUAUGAACCGAGUAACACCUUCAUUUGGAUACUCCAGUUCCCGUAAUUUGUUGCCGUCAACUUUGGAAUUUGUGGUUGCGCCAUCAUACUUGCCAUCUUUUUAUCUCCAAAAUAAUAACCUAGCUCUGAUGCCACUUGUUGGAAACGUGAUGGGUUUAGGCUUCAUCAACUUUGUAAAUUCAAAAUACACACGCCUGUAUAAUAAAACAAAUAACACAAAUUUUAUUUCAUAAACUCAAAGCUACAGCUUGAUUAGAGCUUCAGCUCUUUAGUUUUCUUUUUCUGCUUUUCAAACUCAGUACUAUAUAUUGAACACAAGCAGAACCUCUAUUUAUAGGCCACAAAUACAUGCUAACUAAUCUCAUUCCUUACAUCAUUACCCAGAUGUAUAAAUUAAUGUAGCAACCUUAAUUCACGGGGACAACAACUCUUCUUCAUUUCAUCUACGCGGUUUUAUUAAUACAAAUCUGAUUUGCAUGUUGACAAACCACAAAUUAAACAAGCUGCCGCAUCACCAUCUUAUCACCUGCUUCUAACCUUUCCAGAUUAUUGAUUUCCCCGUAUAUUCUUUUACACACACGUCUUUGACUUUCUCGUUGCAUGCAUGCAGAUGAUAUAGCAUUUAUACAGCCCACCAUAUUUUUAGGAUGUUGUAGCUGUUUCAUUUACUGUCUUGAGAGAGUUUGAUUUCUAACAAGUAGGUCAUAUAGUAAAUUUUGUUAAUCUUUUAGAGGACAUCUCAAACCUGCAGUUCUCUUCGGACAUUGAUGUCAUUGAAAGAGGUUUCAAAUCUUUUGAUGAGUACAAAUCUCAUGGGUUUGUUGUUGAGAAAGUUCAAGCAUCUCUGAACCAACUACUGUUAAAGAAACAACAAGCGGAUGAGUUCCAAAGGGAGUACGAGGAUAUUAGAAGUAAAAUAGCAAACAUGGUUGACAAUGGUGAACUUGAUGAAGAAAUCAGCCAACUCUUCCAGGAAUUCAGAGAAACUGAAAAGAAGCUUAGCUAAGCUAAACAGAAAUCGGAGGCACAUUUGGUUUCGUCCCAUGAACCCCAAGUGAAAGCCUACUAAGCUUAUUAUUCAAAUUACCAUGCCUCACAUUCUCCACAUUUCUUUCUAAAUAUGGUUGCACAUUCGACACACAUGGAACCGAAUAACCAUAACCGGUAAUAGCACGCCCAAUGCAACCAUGAUCAUGAUUUAAAAUGUGAGCAUUAUGAAUAUGGGCAUUAGGCCUAUGAUCAUGGUUCAAAAUCGGCUUUGACCGGCCAUAAUUCGGGUAAUAUGAACCGGGUCUGGGGUUGAAACUGGAUCCAUUGUUGAAAUUGUUAAGGUUUGCAAUUGGGUGAAUUGGGUGAACGGGUUAGAAUUGAACAUGGGGUCUGGGGGACACAAUUAGGGUUUAAAUCAUGAUGAACUCGGUAAAUUGAAUGGGAAUUAGGAUUGAAAAUUGGGCGAUUGGGGAUAAAACUAGGGUUUAUAAUUGGGGGAUUCGGGUUUUGAGUAGGGUGUUGAGGAGGAAGGCCUUGACGAUGGAGAGAAUGGAGGUGCUUCACUUCAUCUAUAAGCUCUUCUUCUAUUAAAUGAGGCAUGUCAAGAUUGAGAAGAUGAAGAUUAGUUGUUUCCUUCAGGUGAGCUCAAGUUUUUUGUUGAUGCUUGUUUAUAUAGGUAGAGAGGAAGAUGAACCCGCACAGGUUUUAGAAAUUUACCAUUAACAUGAUAUCUUUGAGAUUUUUGGUUGGUGAAUAUUAUAUUCCAUUUAGAUUAUAUAUAUAAUCUUUGAGAUAUUAUAUCACAUGAUCAAAAUAUGUAAUUCAUAAAAAUUUUCUGUAAUUAGUUUAUAAAAAUAUAGAAAAUUAUAAAAUAUUGAAAUAUGUCAUCAAAAUUUUAAAUUUAUAUUAUUUAUAAAAUUUUGAAAGGCAUUUAAAAUUUUAAGAAAUAUAAAAAAGGUUACAUAGCCAUCUAGCAUAUUAAAUUUAUAUUUAUAAUAAUAUCAUGAUACUUAAUCAAAAUAUUAAAUUAUCCAUCACCUGAAAAAUGAUGUCAUAUUUCCUUUGAAUAUGGAUUUAAAAUACAUGUAUUUAAUUUAGAUUGUUAAAAUUAUAAAUGACUUUUAAGUAUUCUGUUAAAAACAUAUAUUAUUAAAAAUUUGAUAGUACUCAUCAUGAUUCUAAAUUAUAGUUAAAAAUCGUUUGGAACUAAAGAAACACACAUGUAUAUAAUCAUUUUUGAAUCAGAAAUAUAUACUAGAAUUUGUAGUGAUGUUAAUUCAAAAUUUUAAAUCUUUUUAUAAUUAAGUUAAUAUUUACAAUUGUAAAUGUAACACCCCCAUCUUAAAUUAAGACGAGGAGUUGCCUACAAAUCCAACUUAACCAAAAUAUUAAAUUAUCCAUCACCUGAAACAUGAUGUCAUAUUACCUUUAAAUAUGGAUUUAAAAUACAAUUAUUUAAUUUGAAUUGUUACGAUUAUAAAUGACUUUUAAGUAUUCUGUUAAAAACAUAUAUUAUUAAAAAUUUGAUAGUACUCAUCAUGAUUCAAAAACUGCAAACAGAGCGCUAAUAUAUUCGAAACAAUACUAAAUAGGUCUAAUAAUACCUAAAACGAUUUAAAACCUCCAAAAUAAUUAAACUCGAAUAAUGAGAAUAAAUAGAAUCUCUAACAAUAAAACUGAAUAACUGCUGGAAGUACAUAAAUCCUAAUCAAUGAAAAGAAUGAGCUGCUCUCCAUCACACAGUCCCGAAUCCCCCUAAGUACCUGCCAGAAGAAGAAUACGGCAAGAACCAAAUGCCCAGUACGGAGGAUGGGAAGCAUUUACAAAACAAGAAACAUUUAAAAAUAUUUUGACGAUAAUAUAAAACAGUUAUUUAAUAUAAUAGGCUGAAGCAACAAGGGGUUAGGAUAUUUCAUACCGAGAUCAAAUUAGAACAAAUACUUCAAGAAAUAUACUGUAUCAUAGAGUAUUGGGGAAAGUAAGUAAUAUUAUCUUUAAAAUGAAAUAUUCAUCAAUGAAUAGUAUCACUAAAUUAUGAAUAUCGCUUCUCUAAUAUUAACCUCCGAAGAGGGGCCGUAAAAAAAUCAUAUUUUCUUAAAGAUUGAGUGAAAUUAUUCGGAUAAUUAUUCCAAGUUGUUUGAGGAAAUAAGGUUACACCAAGAAUAACUUAGCAGAUCACAUGAUCAUAUUCUGGCUAUUUACAUUUAUUACCAACAUAUAAUUAUUUUGUGGCACAAAUUUUGUUUUACUUUUCUUCACAAUGAGGUAGUAUAUAUGUAUAAUUUGAAUGGAGAGACACCCAUCAUCAAGAUUGAGGUAGAUUCCAGGUUGAGAUAGAUUCUAAAAUCAAAUUAGACAAUCUAGGAGAUAUAGGAAGAGAGAAAAAAGUUUAUAUGCAAUAUUUAGGUUCUAUGAAAAUACAUAUUUACCGUAUAAAGUAAAAUUUUGAUACUAUUUUUGGUAAAUGAUAAUUAGGAAACAAUGAUUCACACAGCUAUUUUAACUAGUAUUCUAAUGAAAUUAUGAUCCCACUAGACCUAACUUGCAACCUUUACAAUACUUAGGACGCAUGUUGACAUUGUGAUGUUUUUUAAACUUACUAUUUGAGUAAAAAACUUACUAUUUAAACAAUUAAAUAUAUAAUACAAAUAUUUAUCAUAUGGUACCACUUGUAUAUGUGGCUAGAUACUACAAAAAGUACAAUGAUAUAGCAUUUCCCAUAUAUAUUUAUAUUUAUAUAUAACAUUGAGGCUCGGUAGCUAGCUACAUCAUAAAAGAGAGUGAUAAUCGGCCAACUAUUUUUAACUUUGGUAUUUAUUUCACUUACUUAUAAGGAGAUAGUUAGUUAUAGGUUUUAACUCCUAUGGGUGCUCUAGUCCCCUCAGACAUAUCCUGAAGAGGAGUCAAUUCCAGUAUAUUUAUAUAGACCUGUGUUAUUGCCGCUAAUCUUAUAGCUUGUUCAAUUAGUAAAAUUUGUAUCUUAUCAUCUGGGGAAGCUUAUAAAUAAUUAAAAAUACUUAUAUUAAUCAAUAUAAGUCCAUAGUAUACGCCUGAAGGCACCAAAAUACUGUAAUAAAUAUUUAGAGCUAGGGGGCUAAAUGACUGCCUGCGAGCACAACUAAAAAACUGUAGUAGUUACCCAAAAUUUUGGAUGCCAGUCACUAAAUAUCAGAAAUUCUCAGAAACAGUAUAUUGCAUGGAAAAUACAAAGGGUGGAAGUAACAUAAGAGUCACUGUGUAUUUUCUGUAGGGUCAUAAGGGGAAGGCAGGAGCAACUUGUGGUUCAAACCAACUUGUUUUGCCUUGGUGAUGAUUUCAUUUCUUCCCUCCAGGUACCGUUUUGCCUCAGCAGCUAUUGCUCUUGCUCUAAGGCUAUCCAUCUCAUCAUCCUUAGCUAUUAAAUCCAUUUCUUUGGCUUUGAGUUUAGCCCGUAGGAUCUCCAACUCCGAGUUCUUUUCUUCCACCUCUUGCACCUUCUCCUUAAGUUGUUGCUUGGUGGUCUUCAGAAUCUUCCUAUGUUGUUCCUUCUUAGAUUUGACAUUUUCCUCAAACUCCUUGAAAGCCUUUUCGUCCAAGUGAAGAUUCUUUUGGACGGUUUGUGGCUCAUUGGUCACUGCAUUCAACAAAUCAAAGAAUGUGUUAUACACUUGCACUACAUAUCUGGAGCGUACAAUUAUAGUUAAUGUUGAAAAUGCAAAUUAAUAAAAAUUAGUCAGUGGGACAAAACAACAAAGUAGGAAGACAGCAAAGCUAAAAUAACCACGGUAAUCCCAUCUCUAAGGUUGUGUUUACUUCGAGUAAAUGGAAUGGAGGGAGAAUGAAAUGAAUUUUGUACUCUAAAAUAGUGUUGAUCAAAAAAAAAUGUGCAUAAUUUUCAUUCCUUCAACCAUUCCAUUCAUAUUAUUUUAACUAUAAUUCUAACCCACAUGAUUUGGAAGGAAUGCUCAUUCUAUUUCAAAAUCAUGUUUCUUUACAAUCUUUCUAACAAGAAAUUUAAAUACAUUCAUAUUUUGUCACUAGCUAUUAUCUUGUACUUUCUUCUUUCUUCUUAAAACUUCUAUAUGAUUUUUCAUUUCAUUCUCCCUUCAUUCCAAUUCAUCUAAGUGAACACAGCUAUAAGUUUCUACCCACCAACCAUGAAAUAUUAGGUACGUGAACAGAAAAAAUUGUAAGCAUCUAGCAUACCUCCAAUGUGAAUUGUAGUUUCGGGAUCCAAAUCCACAAUAUUUUGAUGUGGCAAAGCAGCAUUGUUAUGGCUCCCGCCAUCUUCAGCUGGAGCACUGGAUUGACCUCCAGCAGCAUGACAACUCUCUCCCAUGUCAUACUUCCUUUUCGUUUUCACAGCACUUCUAGAAGGAAAGGUUUCAAAGCAUGCGCGGAACUCUGCAGUUACUGUUUCAGGUACAGAUGGGCAAGACGCAGCACCUCCACCAACAUUGGCCAAGUGCAGUUUUAGUCUAGUGAUGCCGGUUAACACCUUGAAACAGUAAUUGCACCUGAUCUUUGUUCCCUUUUGGGCCCCUGUUUCAUUCUGAGCAUCAACCUUAGUGCCGUGCUUCCAAGCGGGAUCCAUUAUCCUGUAAUGUCAAAAGAAAAAGAAAUAUGCACUCUUAUAUAGUGUGAUGCCAAAGAGUCUUGUUGAGUUCUUCUAAGGUUUUGGAUUUAAACAAUAAACGUGUAAUUACUUAUUUAACAUAUAUUUUAUUACUACAAUAUGAUUAUAUUAUUAAUUACUAAAAUUCAAUUAAUAUUUUAUAUUAUUAAUAGACCAAAGAAAAUAUUUCAAGUUAUUAAAAGCAAACAUCUUAUUUUUCAAAGUUUUAGAUAUGGAUAAUAAUUAAUUUCAUCAUGUUGAAUAAAGUAUAAAAGUAUAAGCAUAGAGAGAUUAGAGAUUAAAAUGUUAAAAUAAUGAGAUCUAUACUAAAUGUGAAAUGUUGACAUACAUAUUUUGUUAUACAUACACUAAAUGUACAAAUUUCAUAAUUACAGUAAAAUUUUCCACUAGAAGUCAUCUUUAUAUUUAACUAAAUAUUUUCAAUUCAUCUUAACACACACACACACACACACACACACACACACACACACACAUAUAUAUAUGACAAAUCAAUAUUUAUAAUAAGUUCAAAUUAUUACAUGUGAUAUAACAAUAUGUCAUAAUCUAAAUUAAAUAGAAAAUGAUUUUUUAAAAGUAAUUAUUUACACUGGAAAUUAUAAUUAGAGAGAAUGUUUUUUGAGUUUAUAUCACAUUAGAAAAUUUUCAAAUAAAACUUUUUUGGUGGUGAUAUGAAAAUAUGAAGUCCGUUUCUUAUAUUAAAAAAUUUCUGAUUUCCCUAUUAUAUUCUUUUAAUGUCACAAACACUUUGUAUCAGGACUUUAGUCUCCAUUGCAAUUUAUUUAGAAAAAUAUAUAAAUAUUACCAUGAACCAAUUUGAAUGAAAAAUCAAUAGAAUGUCUAAAUAAAAUAAUAUCUACAAAAAAUAGUUAAGAAACAUUUUAUAUUUACAAUAUGUAAAUCGAACCAAUACAACCACCUUAUAAUAAAAAAAUAAUUUAAAUAAUCAAAAAAAAGUUACAAGAUCAUAUCUCAAACAUAGACAAUCAAUUAAUACAGUAAAACUUACCAAAAUGAAAUUGUGUUUGAAGAAGUGCUAGGGCUGCAACAAAAAUUUAACCUGUGUACACACAAAAUAAAAAGUAAAAAUAUGAAUGAGAACAACCACUAAUGAAAAAUAACAAUUUUUAAGUUAAAUUACUUGGAGAAAAAUGCACUUAUAAAAUUUUGAAACACUAUUAUUUGAGAUUGAGAGUUCAAUUAGAGAUCUAUGUAAAUUUUGAGACUGAGACACCCAGAUCAACACAGAUACAUACCUAGAAUUUGAAUUUAAAGACACGGGUGACGAGAAAUUUUGAGAUUGAUGAGACAGGGGCUCAAUCAAGAUUGUGAUAGACUCGGAGUGAAACUAGUCAAUUCAGCGGAUGGAGGAGACAGGGGCUCAAUCAAGAUUGUGAUAGACUCGGAGUGAAACUAGUCAAUUCAGCGGAUGGAGGAGACAGGGGCUCAAUCAAGAUUGUGAUAGACUCGGAGUGAAACUAGUCAAUUCAGCGGAUGGAGGAGAUAGGGGCUCAAUCAAGAUUGUGAUAGACUCGAAGUGAAACUAGUCAAUUCAGCGGAUGGAGGAGGCGAGGAGAACAACACAUUACUUAUAUAUGUAAAAAUUAGGGUUUUUGUAAAGGCAAGUUUGUGAAAAGACAUUUAUACCCUAUAAAGCAAAAAUAUAAUUCUAUUCAUAUACUAUGUUAGGUGAAGGGUAAUUAGGAAAUAAUGAUUCAUUCAAAUAUUUUUAAUCUUAAAAUUAUAAUCUCACUUAUUUUGUAUAUUGUUUAUUAAUAAUUAUACAUGCUAUUUGCAUAUAAGAAUAUCUGAUAUCGCUUAAAUAGAUUUUUUUUUCAUAAACUUCUUGACGUGGUUACUAUAAUAAAAAAGUAUUUUAUACGAAAUUAACCAUAUCACAAGGUAGGUAGGUGGUGUUAUAAAAGAUUGGAUUAAAAUUAAAAAUACUAAAAUAAGUAUAAGGAUACAAAGCACCCAAUUUAAUUUUUAAAUAAAUUUAAAUUCACACUAAAAACUUUUAUAACUAUUAAUUAUUACUUUUUUUUUGAAUUCAACUAUUAAAUAUUACUUAAUUACUAAUCUAUGUACAAUGAUACAAAUGCUCCCUAUUUAAUUUUGGGAAAAUAAAUUUUUUUCGUUAUAAUUCAACUUUUAAUGUCAUUAGAAACUUAUCACUAAACAACUAAAUUUUUUAAUAAUUGAAGCAAACUAAUUUUAGUUUUAGUAAUCAGUCAUUCCGUGUACGGCCUCUAACCGACGUUAAAUAGUCUAAUGACGUGGGGCCUUAUAUACAAGUGGCUGAUUAGUUGUCAUAUGAUGUGGCUUUUGAAUAAUUAAAUUAAACAAGAAACACUGUUAUAUUCCAAGCCUCUUGUAAGUUCUAAACCCUCGUCGAAAACCAACAAUUUUGUCUCUAUGUGUUGAAUUCAAUGGAUAAAACGAAACUGGAGUAUUAUCACGGUGGUGAAUUCAUAACAAGAGAGGGCAUCUACUACUACGCAGGAGGUACGAUUGAAACUAUUUAUGAUGUUGAUUUCAAAGCUUUAACCAUUGAAAGUUUUAGGAAUUUUGCAACUCAAAAUCUGGGUUAUGCUGAUGGUUUGAAAUUCUACUAUAAGACACAUGAUAAAGCUAAUAAUGAUAGAUAUAAAAUUCUGUGGAACGAUGAAACCAAUAAUGAACUCAUUGAGGAUGCUCUGAGAGUUGGCUAUGUAGAUGUUUUUGUAGAUCAUUGCUGCUAGAAUAAAUCUGUGAGUGUCGUUGUUGGAUAUGAUAUGAAUACCGAAAAGGAGGGAAUGUAUGAAGAUGAAUCAAAUAGCGGUAGCGAUAUCGAGGGAGAUGAAGAAUACAACACAAAGUCUGAUGUGCUGUUGUCUGAGGGAGAUGAUGAUGAUAAAUUGACUAAAAUAAGGGAGAGGAAAAGGAUGAUUAAAGAUGGUAAGAUUGAUCUAUUAAAGCAAGGAAAAUUGAUUGAUAUGGUUAUUAAUAAUGGUGUACAUGAUGUAAUCCAGGGAAUGGUGAUGAAGAGGAGAGACGUGAAGGUGUUAGUGAGCUUGAGAGCCAUGAUAUAUCACUGGGUGAAACACCUACAAUUAUGGAUUUAACAGAUUAUGAGAUUGAACGGCUGCAGAGACAAAGUCAAUUUGAAGAUAAUAUUGAACUCGGUUUUGAUAAGAUUGGUAAGUCGUGCGAAGAAAAUGAUAAUGCAAAUAGUGAUUCCUUUAUUAUUCCUAGUCCAGUUUCAACGGAUUUCGGUGAGAACGAAGAAGAAGUAAUGAAGGAUGCUAAGAAAAAGAAAAAUAAACAAGCUCAUUAUUCAGAGUUCAAUCCUGAUACAACUAUAGAGCUUAUAGAUGUUGAACAUGAUAUGUUGUUUGCUUCAAGAGAACAACUAAAAGAAGCAAAAUUAGGAACUAUGGUGUAGCCAAGCAAAUGAGAGUUCACUUGUAGCGUCGGUCGGGAGAAUGCCGACCCUAUAGGUUCACUUGUAGCAUCGGUCAGAAGAAUGCCGACGCUAUAGGUUUACUUGUAGCGUCGGUCACGAGAAUGUCGACGCUAUAUCUUCACUUGUAGCGUCGGUCAAGAGAAUGCCGACGCUAUAUCUUCACUUGUAGCGUCGGUCAAGAGAAUGCCGACGCUAUAUCUUCACUUGUAGCGUCGGUCAAGAGAAUGCCGACGCUAUAGGUUCACUUAUAGCGCCGGUGAAGAGUAUGCUGACGCUUUAGAUGUUAUAUUUAUUUAAAAUUAUAUUAUUUUAUAUAAUUUUAUAACAAUAAUUUAAUAUAUGAUUACAUGUAAAAUAUAGUUUUAAUAUUAUAUUUGAAAUUAUAUCAUAUAAGAUAUAACAAAAAAUUUUGAAACUUUAUUAUUAAACAUAUAAUUUUAUAAUUCAUUUCAAUUAAGAUAUAUAUAUAUAUAUAUAUAUAUAUAUAUUAUAAUUUGAAAAUAUAUUUUUUUAUAAUUUUAAAAUUAUAUUAUAUGUAAUAUAUUUUUAAAACUAAAAUUUUCUAAUCUAUACAUACUAUUAAAGCCGAAACAUUAAAAGUUUGGUCGGUCGGUACUUGGGCCGAAUUACGGGCCUACUUAUAUAAUCAAUUAUCAUUUUUGACUAAAACUAUCUUUUUUAUAUUUUCAAACUAAAAAAACUCAAUUUUCUAAAAAUAACAUUAGACGCAAUAGUUAUGGCUAUAGCGACGGCGUUUCAAACAACCGACGCAAUAAGUUAAGGCUAUAGCGUCAGUUGUAUAAAUAACCGACGCUAAUGCUAAGUCUACAGCAUCGGCAUUUUAGAAAACCGACACUAUUGUCAAGAUAAUGCGUCGCCCACUUAACCGACGCUUUAGGGGUUGUUUGACCGACGCUGAAAGUCCAGUUUGUACUAGUGUCGAAUUUCAUCUUUGAAUCUUCAAGAUCAUUUUCUUAUCCACCAAUGAAAGAUUAUUAAACAAUUUCACAAAUCUGUCAUAUAAAUCUAGUUAAUGACUCAUCAGACUUUGAGUCUAAGUGCUCAUACUCCUGUGUGAGUGUUGUCUUCCUGUUUUUCUUGAGAGUUUUGGUUCCUUGACAUCUUAUCUCCAAAGCAUCCCAUAUCUCCUUACUAGUCUUGCAGCCAAUGACCCUGUUAGACAUAACAUUGUCAAGAGCACUAUGUAAUAAAUGCCUUACCUUGACAUCCUAACUAAUGGAGGAGAUGUCUUCUGGAGUAUAAUCCUUAUUCUUCUUGGGAAUCAAUUUUUGUGGCUGAUCUCCCACUGCAACAGAGAGUUUUGUUGGCAUAUAUGGACCAUCAUAAAUUCUAUCCAAGUAUUCUGGAUCAGUAGCUUCCAAAAACAUAGCCAUUUUAACUUUCCAUACUGGAUACUCAGAUGCCCUGAGUAUAGGAACCCUUAUAGAUUCAUACUUACUAUUUGUUGGAGUUUGUGUUUUCUUAGACAUGAUUGUAUGUUAUUUUUAGAUCUUAACUAUUUGUAUAUGUUAAUAUUCAAGCUCAGAUAUCAAUUGUUAGGCCGAAAACCACUACAGAAGUGGGGUUGAAUAUAGUGGAUACAAUUAAAUCGAAUAAGAAUACAAUAUCUAAGAUCAACAUCAGCAUUUAUUCAAUAAUAAAAUCUGAUACCAUGGUAGAAUGACUACUUUCUCAAUGAUUUAUAUUUUCUCACUAAGAGCUGAUAGGUUACAAGAUGAAUAUUAUUCUCUAUGAUAACACAUCUAGUGUAAACCUAGCUAUGUUGUGUUUAUAUACCACACAAUUACAAGAUAAUCACUCAUUGAUAUGAUAUAAAUCAGCUUCAUAAGAUAUAUAUCAAUCAAAUAUUAUAGUAUUAAUCUUCACUGAUUGUGAGCUGACAUCUUCCGUCUACAGCAAAAUUCUGACUUCCAGAUUAUACUCUCAUAUCAUUAUCUAAAACUAAUCAAAGAAGUUAAGUCUAAUAUCAUAAAAUAUGCAACAAUUUGUGUUCGGAUGUAAUAUUUACAAGUCAAAAAAAAAUUCUCAUCCUUGAUAAAUAGACACAGUUAUUAUGAGAAUGUGUGUAAACUGUCUGACUAAGUUAAUAAUUAUUGUCUAUAAAUUUUUAGAAAUUUCAUCCCGACAAUGGUAUUUAGAAACCAUAGUUUGAUAAUUAAUCAAAUACUGCUCGUAUACACUAGUCUAACAUACCGAACACAUUUGACUAAAAUUUUUGUGUCAUAUUGAAGCUGUCAUAGCAAUUAGAAUUUAUCUUAUAAAAUUGAGAGAAGCUUUACUUGAAUCAGUUGAAAGUGAUGGUAACAAUGAUGUUAGAUGUGGAGCUCAUUCUCUAGCAUUUCUGUAUCUUUGAAAAACUUAAAUUUUUGAUAGAUAUGAGGAUAUGGUAUGAAAUUUUGUUUGUUAUGAUUUUAAUUAGUAACAUUUACGAUCUAGUGACAUGCUUAUUGUUGUGACUAUCGAUAAAAUGCAAGGAUUAAUCUAUUUGUUUAAAUGGUAUUGGAAAACUUUAUCUAUAGAAAAUACUUUACUUGAGAAUAUUGGUUAUAAAAAUAUUUUAUGUGAUUUUUUUUUUUUUGCAAAAAUAUGUUAGAAAGACAAUUUGUAUUUAACAUUAUAUAUUAUAUAUCAAUUUUAAUAUUUUUAAUUAGGACACUUUUUUAUUUUGUACAAGACAUAUAUUUGUCAUGAACUUAACAUAAUUAACAAACUAAUUCCAAAUGCAAUUUUUAAAAUUUCAAUUAGUUGAUUGAACGCUAUUUCACUCGGUAAGUGAAUUGAAUAUUACAAUUAAGUACAAUAACGAAAUAAAAUAAUAACCCGUUAAGAAAAUAAGUAAAGGGAUAAAAAGCUCAAAAGUAAAAAAGGUGAGUUAAAUGGUGAGACUGUUCCCUCUCAUUUCUUUACCGUUACUAUUUUGGGAUGUCCCUCUUAUUUCUUUACGUUACUAUAAAUAGUAAGUUUUUAUAUUCCCCUACUAUCUCAUAUUUAACUAUAAAAAUUAUUAUUACACCCACUACUUUCCUCCACUAUUUCAAAUCUAUUAUUAAAUAUUGAUAGGUCCCACCACUUUACCCACUUUUCAUCUAACUUUACUCAUUUUUCAUACAUUGUCUUGGUCUCCGUGUCCCCCUCCAAUGUAAACAAUUGAGAGGGACGGAGGGAGUAGUAUUUAAUGUAUAAUAAAUAUUUAUACUUGGUUGGAUUUUAUGAAAAUAAGUAAAGUAGCGGACAAAAAUAAGAAAUGUGGGUUGAGUGGUGGCGCAAUUAAUUUUUAAUAUUUAAAGUGAGUACAUUGUAGGAUAGUAGUGGGAAUUUUUCAUAUUAUAAAAUUAAUUGUUUUUAAUUGGAAUGUUGAAAGUUGAAAGGAACGACACAAAAAUGAAAAAUAUAAGAAAUAUAUUAUUUAUAAUUUUUAUUUUAUACUAAUGAUUCAUUUUUAAAUUAAAUUUCUUUAAAGAUAUUAUAGUAUUUCCACUAUAGUUGGCUGUAAUGGUUAGCUAAAUUAAACCGGUAAGACUAUGUAAAAUUUGUUGGCCUAUAAUAUAUUUUGUUUCGAUGGUACUUGCUAUAUUGAUUGAUUAUUUUAAAUAUAACAUGUUAUUGUUAUUUUAAAUUGUUAUAUAACAAAAAGUAUUAGUUUAAUAUGAUAAUUGAUCACGUGUCAUUUGCUACAGAGGAAUAGCCACAGAAAAACCAUACUAUCUCUUAACUAAAAAAACCCUUAACUAAAAACUUAAUUGGCAUAAUAAUGAGAAAAAUAUAAAUAACCUUAUCAAAAUAUCACACUCCAACAAUACUAUCUCUUAUCUAUAAUUUUAACCAAGCUCGUAUGGAAUGACUAUAUUUGUCGAACUAAUACAAAUUUGCAGUAAAUAUCAUGUCAUCGAUUAUCACAUUAAAAUAAGACAUUACAUUUAUAACAACUUGUAACAUGUUAAAUUUAAAAUAUUAUCGGUAUCAUCAAAACAAAAUGUGUUACAAAUACAACAAAUUUUAUAUAAUAUUUUAUAAGUACAAUUUAGUCUAUUAUUAUAGUCAAUGCUCUUGAUUCAAGUUCAUCGUAGCAAAGUUCGCUGCUGUGAGUUUACUUUUUGCACGCAUUUCGAGGUUCUUAUAAAGUAUAGUUCUGUAAUGUUUUUUUAAAUUUUUUAUUUUAAAUAAAAUUUCAAAAUCAAAUUUUUAUUCUGAAAAAAAUAUUACGGAAUUAUUUUUUAAAACAGUCUUAAAACAUGCCGAAAAGUAACAUAUAAAAUCAAUUGAACAAGAAAGAGGGAGUGAGAUAUAGGUGGUGUUUGUUUACCACUUAAAAGCCCAGCUUCCGGAUUUAUAAAUUAGAAUCACUUAUUCGUACCGUUUGUGUAAAAAAUCAAGAAACACUUAUAAAAAGUUAGGAAUUUAGCUUUUGUAUCAGGACUUCUACUUCUAUCUCAAACACUUUAAUCAAUUAUAAGUCUUAACUUGUUUCUAACUUUCUACUCCGUUUUUUUAUUUUAAACAAGAAUCACUUAUAUUAAACUCAUACAAACGGUCCCGUAAAUGCACGAAUCCACGUUAGUCUUUUUCAGAUCAUGUGGCCCCUCCGGUUUCUUAAUCUAUCAACAAAAUAUCCAUGUUCUUUUAGUUUCUAAAAUCAUCUUCAUAAUAUAUUUUAAUUUUGCCAAGGAGUGGCAAAAUAGUAAAUAAGACUUAAUACCAGGGAUAAUUUGGGAGGGUACCUUGUAAUCUUGUAUGACUAUGUGCUAAGAGCAUCUCCAACGGGCUUCUCAAACAAGCUCUUAACUCUAAAUUUUAGGAGGAUAUAAAAAAAUAGAGCUCCAAUGGGCUCCUAGUAGCUAUUUAAAAAUUUUAAAGCUUACGCUCUCUCCUUUCUUUUAAACAGCAUCUAGGUGCUCCUAACUUAUUUUCAUUGAAUAAAAUAAUCACUUCCUUCUAUUUCUAUUCACUUCUCUCUAAUUCGUUUUCCAAUUUUUUGCUCAAAUAAUGAUAAACUAUGAGUAAAGAGCAAGUAUAAAAAGUAUGGUUGGAGUUGUCACGAUAUUCAAUGUAUUAAUUUACUAGGAGCCAUAGAUUAUAUUAUUUUUUGGGUUAAUGAUCAAGUGAAUUACUGAAGUGGACUCGAUAUAUCAAGUUGGUCACCGUAAUCAAAACGGUUUCAAAUCAGUCAUUAAAGUCAGUUAAAGGUUCCUCUAAAUAUGAAUUCAAGAAUUACAAAUAUUAUUUACAGAGGUUUACACAUUAUUCUUGAGUGUUACUGCAACUAAGUACAAUAUUAGGACUUAUAGUAUUUAUGAUAAUAUAUAUUUAGAUUUUAUCAAAUUUAUUUACUAUUUAUUUUUAAUUAAAAACAUAGAAAACAACUUUUAAAUAAAAAAUAAGUAGUAAAUAGACUUAAUAAAAUCUAAAUAUAUUAUCAUAAAUACUAAAAUUCAUAAUCUUGUACUUAGUUAUGGUAACAUUGAAGAAUAAUGUGUAAACUUCUAUAAAAAAUAAUUUUUAUUCCUUGAACUCAUAUUUAGAGGUAUCUUUAAUUGACUUUAGUGAUUAAUUUGAGAUCAUUUUAAAUUCGGUGAUCAACUUGAUAAAUCGAGUCUACUUGAGUGACUCACUUGAUUAUUAACCUGUUUUAAAGUAUAAGUUGCAACACACCGACCAAAGCAGCUCUCCUAGAAGCCAACUUCACUUUCUUCCCCAACUAAAACUAAAAAACAUCAUUCGAACAUUUUAAGGAACCAGAAGAAUCUAGAACAAAUGGACUCCAACCAGGUAAUCAAAAUCGUGCAACCCCAUUACCUUAACCUAACCCUAGAUCGUCCUCAUUUCACGGCGACGCAUUCGCCGGAGCCACCAUUACCGACCACCCACCUGAUUUUUCAUUGGUUUAGUUAUUUUUUUUGUACUUUUUCGCAAAAAAAUUGAAUCUUUUUAAGGGGGGUUGCUUUUGAUCUUCUGUUUGAAUGCUCCAUUGGUGUUUAAGCGAUUGUUUAUGUAUGUCUGGUUUUAUUGAAGGGGAUUUAUCUGUUGUUUUUUGGGUUUGCAGGGACUUGAGGCCUUGAAAAAAGCUUUUGGUGAUGUAAUCUUGAAUACAUCAGAAGAAGCAGCUUCCAGAGUAAUGGCUGCGGAGAAGAGGGCUCAACAAUUGGAGCAAGAAAUUCGAGGCACGAAAGAUGAGGCGGUUCAGAUGAUGGUUAGGCUGAAGAAGAAGAUGGAUGAUGAGGUAUAAUUUUGAUUUUUACAUUUAAUUGUUUUUAUUGUAUGCAUAGAUUGAAUUGUUUCUUUUUUGUAGACAUGUAUAAUGUUUGUUUCGGAAUUGUGUAUUGAAAUUCUAUAACAUCAAUAUUGUUUGGUGAUUUAGUUCAUGUUUGUUAAAAAACAAAAAUCAUGUCUUGAUUAGUUUGGUUGCCAUAUUUAUGAUAGUGAUGCAUCUGUUUUUGAGUUUUUGUGGUUUGAUGAACUAGGUGUUCUAUGAGGUUGCUUCGAUUAUGCUAAAUUUUGUGCCCUCGUGUUUCUUUUGUGGAAGUGAUCGAAUUGGCAAUUAAAUUUAGGGGGAGCUGGUGUUAAUGUAGUCACUUUGUUCUAAUUAUGGAUGUCAGGGCCUAUAUUUUAAUCUUGUUCUUAGAUUUUACUUGCCUACUGAUUAAUAGUUUACAUAUUCAUGUCUGUUAUCGUCCAUAUAUUCUUUCCUCUUAAGGUUUUAACUUCUAUUUGAUGGCGGACUAUUGAGUAACUUGUCCAAAUAGAUGUUUUAAGUUAAGGCAAGAUAAUAUAAACCUAAUCUCCAUAUUUUUGGCAAGGUACUUAAGGUUCUAACUUUUAUUUAACAUGUCUCUUGUGCUUCGGAAAAUAUGUCUGCUGCACUGUUGCACGUAUAGUUUAAAGGUUAAAAUAACAGCAAUGGGGGUACAAUCAAUUCCACCGAAAAUUCAAGCUUUUUGUGCUCCUUGUGUUGGUAUUCUCUUUCUGUUUAGACAUCUUUCUAGUGGGUCCAAUAUUACAUUUCUGAUACACUAUAGCAUCAUUGCAGAUUAGUGAAGCAACCAUGGCAUCUCGAAAUCGACAAGAAAAGAUUGAUGAACUUGAAGCACAGCUUCAGGAAGCGGAGGAUAUAGUGACCGAGACAAGAGAAAAGCUGAGACAUGAACAAGCUAAAUUUGAAAGGGUGGCGAGGAGGGAAAUGCAGCGCCAGGACAAGCAUGACUAUGCUAGUUUAACAGAAGCAUUUGAUAGAAAGAGACAGUCUCGUUCUGUUCCUUGCCCUCCCUUGGAAUUUCAGAAAGAUCCUCUUAUAACUUCUGACAAUGAGAAUCCAUAUCUGAAUCAAAGGUCUGAAUACCCUAAUUGCUCUACUGAACCUCUGAUCAGGAAUUUAUAUGGCCCCAUGCCUGAAUUACCUUCUAUAAUUUCGAGAAGCAAGAAGCACAAAGUUUUCAGAAAUGCAUGCACGCAGAGAAUUCACGCAUGUGAAAGGAACAUUGUGGGCAAUGAGUUGUCUUUAUCAGGACAGCAUGAUGAUGCAAGUGGCAAGGGAAUGGUUGAAGGAGCAGAAAAGGAUAUUAAUACAUGCAAAUCUACCUUCAGCGAGGUUCACAAGGUGCUUAAUAUCGAGAGCAAAAAAGUGGCGGGUAAGAAUGACAGUAUUAGCGGCGGGUAUGAGGUUCAGCCUAUGAAAUCAAUUCCAGAAGAAGUGAAAAAAGCUACUGAGUAUAGCAAGAAUACAUUGUGUUGGUUGAAUAAAGCUACUGAAACAAAUGUCAAUGAUAAAGAAGGCGACUCUGAAAAGCUGAUAUCUAAGAGUGAGACUCCAUUUAAAACAGAAGCCAAGUAUGGGAAAAAUAAAAACACUCUAGGCAAGAAAAUUUCUGAUAACAUGUUUAUGAAGGGAUGUAAAAAUCAUGGUGUUCCGCACUCAGACCCUAUUCCCAAAUCAGAUGGGGACAAUCCACAGCCUAAUGAAGAUCCUACAGCCAAUAAGCCAAAAUUAUCCUUUGAUACAGCAGGCCUCGAGACACCACUGGGGUGUGCAAAAUCUGCUGAAAUAAAGGACAAUGGUAGAGAAGGUGACACUGAAAAGUUGAUAUCUAAAGGUAAGCCUCCAGUAGAAAUAGCUACUAAGUAUCAAAAGAAUAGAAGUGCUAUAGGCAAGAAAAUCCCUGAUAAAAUGUUCGAGAACAGACAUGAAACUUUUGGUGCUCGUAACUCAUACCCGAAUCCGACAUCAGUUCAGAACAAUGUGCAGCCUAAAAAAGAUCCUAAAGUCACUAUGCCAAAGUUAUCACCGGAUAUAAAAGGCAUGGAGACACAGCUAGAGUGUGCGAAAACUACUGAAACAAAUAACAAUGGUAAACAAAGUGGCACUGAAGGUUUGAUACCCAAUGGUGACCCUCCAGUCAAUAUAUCAGUACCUUCUGUUCAAGAAGGCGUUUCUGCAGACAGUUCAGACAUUGAAGUAUCUAAUUCAAAUCUGAAGAAAGUUGAUGAGCAUAUUCUAAAAUCAAAGCUCAAAAUCAACGAUGCAACAAAUACAGGUUUUUCUCUGCAACUUUUCAAAUACACAUUCCAAAGGAAGAGGAAGAGAGAAAUUGUGAGCAUCUCUGAUGGAGCUGUCCUGGCUGACAACCACACUCUAGAGAGAAGGAAGGAAACUAAGGAUACAUCAGAACAGUCAGAGAAGUCUAGCUUGGCAGCUUAUUCUGGAGGCAGUCAGUGAGCACAGGUUGGUGAUUUACGUUUGUGUUUUCAUGCUUAGAAAAGUUUUUUAUAAACGUAGUAUAAGAUAUAUAUUUUGUGUGCCUUAGCAAUCAGAAUUUGUGAUGAAGAUCAUGCAGUAUAGAGUAUUUGAAAUAUGUUAAGACAUGUCCAAAUGAAGCCAUAAAUUUACAGAAUUUUGUUUCCAUGUCAGUCUAUAUUUUGUAACAUUACUUGUGUCUCAUAUAAUCGUUUUAGUGUAAUUAAUGAGGCGCAGUAGAUAACCUGUAAGUGGUUCUGGGGCAUGUCUAAUGUGACUAUUCCGGGCAAUUGAUAAACUGCUAGUCCACACCACAAGCCCAUGCCUUCUUGAGUCUCUGAACAAUCACAUAAUUUGUUAUGUGCUAAAGCGUAAGACUUUCUUUCAAGUGCGAUAUUCUAUAAAAUGAUGAUCUGCAGUUAUUGUUGUGGUUUUAAUUUCAGUCAACUGCUGUUUCUGCCAAUUCCAUUUGUAGUCAUCUUAUUUCUUUAUAACCCUUUAUGCACUGAAGUUUCUGAAUUCCUAGAUUAACCUUUUGCUCCCUCUUGCCCCCCAAAGAGCUGCUCUAAUUUUAUUAAUAAAAUCAAAUAUAAUUUAAUACGAGUCUGACACCUAUAUAUUUAUGAAUGAUGCCAGAUCUACAGCUUCAUAUUUUCUGAAUUUGACUAUUUGAAUCGUCUACUCUGGAAUGGUCUUGUGGGUGUUCCAGCACCAUAUAUAUGGUAGUCUCUUUACUAGGGAUUUAAUGUGAAGAUUGAAAAUAACGUAGUAAUAGAAGUUACUAACCAGGGUUCUGGAUUAGGAUAUUAGUAUUAGGAAUUAUCAUUCUUGAGAGGUUUGUGUACUGUUGGUUAGACCAUUUAUUAUAGUCUGAAUCUCUGCGUACUAGUGAUUUACUUUUAUAGUAUGUGGUAGCAGUGAUCUGUCUCCUUUCACGGCGAUAUGUUAAUUACUCCCCCCCUCUCUUAUUUGCAGGAAAAUAAGAAAAUGCUGAUUGUAAAUCAUAGUGUUUUGUGAUUAGUAAGCAAGAGUUUGUUAAGUUGAAGAGCGUGCAGACCAGCGCUUUUACAGAAUUACAGUGUUGAUGCAAAGAUGGUGUGUUCCAUUUGAACUGCCAACCAGCGGCUUAUUCCAGAGAAAGAUGUAGAUUUCAGAGACUGACACCUUUAGGAAUGUCAUUUUUACAAUUUACCUUGACUCUUUGCCUUUGUUGUAAGUUGUAACCUCUAUAUUUCUCUCCCAUAACCAUCUGCCCGUCUGUCUCUCACAUGGUGACUUUAGUAUAAGAUCUUAACCUUGUCUUUUACUGAAAUUGCGAAGGUUUUCAAGUUUAUAAUUAAACUUUUUAGACUUACUGGUUGGCAGCAUUUAGUAUCACAGAUAUAUCACAAAUUCUUUUCCUAUCUUGGUAGUUGGUAAUAUAGCAACUACACAAGAUUUGUGAUCCUUCACAAUCUGGUAUUCAACCUUUAAGGAGUUUUAAUACUUGAAUUGCUCAAAGCUUAUACGAAACCGAGAGAACACACUUCCCUUCCCAUCUGGUAUGCCAGGAAAAUUUCACUAGCUAAUCCAGCUAGUAAGGAUUUCCGACUUGCCUUUGCAGAGGACCUUUUCAAGUUAUCUGCUAUUAUUUGAAUAGAAAUAAUCACUUAUGUUUGUUGACAAUUGACAAGCAAAGUUCAGCUGAUUAAAAUUCAUGGAUUCUCUUCAACCUCUGUAGCUAUUAGAGCUUAAUCUUGCUCAUAAGCAUCACCUAUACGCCUAUACAUGAUAUUUAUAGGCAUUCUCAUUGGUCCCUAGAAAACGAGUUGAUCUUGCUGAACAUGGUUAUUUUUCCAUAUUAGACGAGGUUGUGUUUUAGUUGCUUAAUAUUUUCACACUAUAUCCAAAGCAGACUGGUGGCUAAAUAUUUGUGAUGGUUUUUACUCACCGGACGUUUUACAAAUUCUAUUAGCAAACACAUCUGUUAAUUUGCUCCCCUUGCAUUUCAUAACAUCCUUUGUUCCUUUGAUCAAAUAAGUAGAUUUGACAUUAUUCAUUGUGAGUGAUUUCAUUAUACUGAAUGUAUUAAACAUAGUGUAACAUCUAAUAUAAAACAACCAUUGGUGGAUAUAUUUUCCUGGAAAAAGUUUCUCUGUACAUAUGCCUCUGGGGAAGACUUGAAAUAAGUUGUCAAGUAGCAAAUAGCAAACCUUAGUUUCCAAAUCUUAAUCAAUUAAAAUGAUAGACAUAGAAUGAUAGAUAUUAAUACUGCUUCUAUACAGUUUAGUACAAGCUUGUCCAGAUACUGCUCGUACAGAUGUACUUGCAGCGGAGUUUUGACUUCCGGUAAUUUUUGCAACUCCCUGCUUCAGAUGCAGCACACAGAGCCUGCCUAUUCAACACCAAAACAUAAUGUCAAAUAAUUUAGUUUUUGCCACUUGAUGGAUAGAAAACAUUAGAAAGAAUUAUCCCAUCUAGUUCAAACUAAAAUUCAAAGAUUUUUACUUUUUGAUUUCAUCACUAAGAUGAGCACAAAAAAAUACGGCCCGCAAGUAUUUACCGAAAUCAUGAAGUCAAAAAAUGGAGUUGAGAAGCUAAAAUAUCAAAAAUUCAGCCAGAUUGAUUUUAAGGCUUUGGGAUGGAAUAUAUGAGCAGAAUCAACUGCAAUAAAUUAAAAUAUAAAGAACUAUUGUAAUACUAUAUGGACGCGUGCAAUACUUGUACCCAUCUACGGAUGGUGCUUGUUAAUGAUUAGAGGCAGGUAGGAUGCAACAGUAGUACCAAACUAAGCUUGUCUUAGUAAAUUAGAGUUUCACUGAAAAUUAAUUAUACAAUUGUAAAUGAAACUAAAUGAAUUUGCCUAUAUAAACACAUUACCUGAUCAUAUUCAACGCAAAUGAUGUGCUGAUGCACGUCAUGUGGAAUUUUGGACAAUCUCUGAUAUCCCUUGGGAGUUGCCAUGGACCUCUGCUAAAGGAUUGACAAUGAAGCCACUACUGUUCUGAAGACGUGCUCUUCUAUUCUCCAGUUUGCUUCCAUUCUUAAUUGCCAUGUUGUGCCUAAUAGCCUCUGUUGAGGCUGAAUUGUUACCUUCUGCUCUCCUCCAAAGCUUUGAAUAUAGAAAGUCUGCAACAGGCAGCUUGCAGCAUGUAGUCCCUGCAGAGCGAGUACCUGAUAUCCUUCCAGCUGACACUGCCAAAUCAAGCGAGAUCUCUUCCAAGGACAGCUCCAAGCCAUGAACUCGGGAUUCCAAGGAACGCAUACUAUUUUGUGAUGUCCCGAUAAAACCCUGCAAUUAACAUUUACAGGAGAAAGAAGCCUAAUUAAGUAGAAUAUUCGCAGAAACCUAAGAAGACUAAAUUCAUGUGUUGUGAUGUGUUUGUGAUGUGUCCAACACAACAAUGUAGAGAGCAAAUCAAGGCCAAUAAAAAUUAUGUGGAUAGUUUGCUUCAUUGGCCAAAUAAAGAGUUAAUGACAUGGUCUCAAGAUUAAUCCCAAAAGGCAUCAUCCAAAUUAAAGAUUUUGACUUCCAUGUUGCUACAAUGAUAGACAGGGGAAGAGAUACUUUUAUCAGAAGGCCUAUUUCCAAGGUUGAGAAUUUUACCUGGAGUAAAUCAAACAAAGUGGAUUGCUGGUUUUCAAUUUGAAGAAGCUGCUUGCGAAUCAAGAGUAGAUCCUCACUCUCUUUAUGGUUUCCAUGAUGAUUUCCGACGACAUUGUUAGCUUUUGCCACAUAAUCUGAAACUUCAUCACAAAGAUGCAAACUUGAGCCAGCUUUAGACCCAUCGAAAUUGUGUGUAUUUUCCUCAGAGUUCCUACUGAAAAGUUCCCUUCUAGUUUCAACCUUUGUAACUCUAUUGAUCUCCUCUCCAUCUUUGUUGCAAAAUUUCUCAUUUCUAAAUUUAAAAUCCUCUGAAACAACUGCAGAAACCGGAGUUGCGGUUUCAAUUUUCCGGUUAGGAGGCUUUUUGCGAUCAAGCUUUCUAAACAUAGCGGGGCCUGUUUUCUUUUCAGUGAACUCUGGAGGAUUUCUUUUACUGGCAAUUGCUGCGGAAGAAUAAUCAAGCAAAGGCAAACCAUUAUUCUUGCUCAUCUGAGGAGGUCUAGAAUUAAUUGAGCGAGUAGAUUUAAGGCCAGGAGCAUAGCGUCCAUUGCUAGGAACUUCUGCCCACAAAAUAAACACAUUGAAUUAAGAAAACUAUGAGAUCAAAUUAUUAUUUUCUUUUAAUAAGAGAAAGGGCAGAAAAUGAGAUAUAAGGUCUGUGUUAAUCCAUUUCAUCCAUAUAAAUAAAAUUUUAUAUGAGAUAAUAGCUUAUUCUACUGCCUAGAACAGGAAAUUCUCAAUGCAUCUGGUUCAUCUGCAUUUACACAUUUGCAAUAUACUAAUGAAAUAGGUUUCUUACUGGAAAAGGAUAGCAUCACUAACAUUAAUUCAGUGUACAGUAAACAUCAACCAUAUGAAUCUUUUUGUUCAAUAAAUAAUUCACUAACUAUAGAAAACAAACAAAAAAGCAAUACCUUUCGAAGAAGAUUGAGAUUCGGAAAGCGGUGAAACCUCAUCAAGUGCAUCUGGAAUCUCUCUCCAAGCUUCCACCAUCAAAGUCAUAGCCUCUCUCACUACUUUUACCUACAAAAUAUCCGGGCACUAACUUCAGCAUUUCAUCAGUAGUAACAAUUCCAUUAGCUCAUCAACACGUAAUCACGCCAGGUACUCAUUGUAUCUACUUAUUCAUAUUCCCUAUUAACAGAUGCAGAUUCUAUACACUACAUAGAUAUUUUCAUGUGUGCCUAACCAGUAAUCGAACAAUAAAAUUAAUUCAAAAUUCAAUCAAAUCGAAGACACACCUUGUCGUGUCGUUUGGCCUCAAAUGUCUUCAAACAAGAAGCCUUAUAUUCCGGCAACACAUCCCUCUCCACAACCGCAAGCUUCACCAAUGCCUCCGCAGCAGCCUUCCUCGCCGCCCAAUCCUCACUACCAACAAACUCAACAAAACACUUGACAAAAUUCCUCACAAUUUGCUGACUCAAACUCCCAUUAGCUCCAAUCACACUGCCGAAAACAGUCAACAACGCGGCUUUCGCCUUAAAACUCUCCGACCUUAACAACUUCUCCAAUCUCGGCAACAACCGCUUCAGAAACACCGGAUCCGGAUCCGGAGCUCCAUCAAUCGCCGCCGCAACGCAUAACGCAGCGCCAAUCUGCGAGUUCAAGUCCUGCUCCGUCACCAACGCGUCAAUCAGCGGCUUCGCGAUCGAAGUAAACGGAGGCUUCGUAAUGUGCGACGAAAUCGAACCAAUCGCCGCGACACAAGCAGAUCGCACCGCCGAGUCAUUAUCGCGGAGGCGCCGAAUCACAGAACUAAUUAGCUUAGACAGAUGCGGAGAGAGGAGAUUACCGUGAGAUUCCGAGAGCAGAGAAACUAACUUCACACAUUGUUUCCUCACCGGCGACUUAUCCGCCGAAUCAGUCGCCGUAAUCGACGAUAUAAACGGCGACAACGAGUCAUGACUCAGUGUCCUCGCAAUCGACUCCAGCUCCACCGACGCCGCCGAGUAAGUAUCUCUAUCAGAAAGCUUGUUCAAGCAGGUGAGUACUCUCUGCUUGAACUCGCGUGUCAUCGUGGCUUGAUUCGUCGACUGCUUGAGUGCCGCCAUUGUUGUACGGAACAAAAUGAGCUUUAUAAGAUUAUAAAAAUAAGAUCUUUAUAAUUCCCGGCGGCAUUAUCGCCGGAAAAUCAGAGGCAGUUGUGACUGUGAUGUAGUGUCUGGUUAGUUACUACAUUUGCAUCUGGUGUGUGUGAUGUUUCCUUUUUAAAAGAGGGUGAGAGAGAGCACUUUUUUAAUGGAUAAUUUUAUUAAAAUAAAAAGGAAUUAUGGGUUAAAAUAAUUAAAAGUGUGUUUUAUAAAUUAUUAAAUCCUACUGGCUUAACUUUUGUGUACCUAGCUACCAACUACUUUAUUGGUGGCCAUAUCUUGGUGUAACAGUUUUGAAGUGUUAGAUAGCACUUAUUUAUCAAAGAAAAGUGGUUGAUAAUAAAAAAAAUAAAGUUUUUACAAAUAUAUGAUUCGAUAUUUAUCAAAAGGUGAUCAUCGUAUAAAAUUAUUCUUACUUAAAAAUAUUCAAUAAUAUUAGUAUUUUAAACAAAAAUUGAACUCAUAAAAUACAAUAUUUGAGUAAGGGGUGGAUCUUGGAAGAGGCAAGGGACACGUGUCCUCCCUAAAAUUAUUUUUUACAUUUUUUUAUCAUUUUAAAUUUUAGAAAAUUGUAGAAGUGUCCCCACAUAAUUUAGAAAUUAUAAAAAUAUAAAAUUUUGCAAUAUUUAAACAUAUCAAACGUAAAACGGAAAUACUAUAUCCAGAGCAAAAUUUUUAUAUCCAGAGCAAACAACCAUGAAAAGACAAAACUGACCCCGUGCAUACACAAUAACAGCAAAAGAAAAAAAUAAUGUGAGGGAUAAUUUUGUCUUUUGAUACUUUUUCAGCUCUGGAUAUAAAAAUUUGCUCUGGAUAUAACAUUUCUCAACAUAAAAUCUCCUUAAAUGCACUAUUAUAUAUAUAUAUAUAUAUAUAUAUAAUUAAAAUGUAUUAAUUACACAAAAUUUAUUUGUUACAAAAGCUAUAUUUACAUCGGAUUUCACCGGUCUUCAUGCCAAGCAGCCGCAAACAGAAUUUAAGCAGUUUUUUCCACCUUUACUUGUUCCACCAUAUUAACAAGAGAUGAGCACAAAUCGAAUGAAAAAAUUAAUAUCGAAAAAACCACACGAAACUGCACCGAAUAAAAAUUGCACCAAUAUUUUGGUUUUGGUUUCUAAAAUUUUAAAACCGAAUAUAAAUCAAACAGAAUCACAACAAUAUUUAUAUUUAUUUACUUAUUUUAUAUAUUUAAUAUAAUAUAUAAAUUAUAUCUUUUUUAAUUUACCGUCUAUUCUUCUUCUGCCAUCUCUGUGUUGUAGAGUACCAACUUAUCAUCUUACUCAUCAUAUCGAUCAAUAGUUUCGUAUUUUCCUGAUGACUACUAAUGUAACCAUGAAGAUAUUCCUAUUAUUGGCGUAUUUGUUGUAAAUUUUUUAAAGACGCCGACAUCCAAGGGUUUUUCGAACACUUCAUGGUUUGAAAAUCGAACUGCACCACAUAAAAUAGAAACCGCUUAUUUUAUAAACCGAACCGCACCAUUAUAUUUGGUUCGGUUUCGAUUUUCAAUUUUAAAAACCGCACUUUGUGGUUCUGGUUGCGGCAUGCACAUCCCUAAUAUUAUAAUUCAGAAAAACUUCUUUUUAAUAGUUAACAUAAUUUUAUAUGCAAUAUAAGCAUGGGAAAAAAAAUUAAGCCUUUAAAUAUAAUUUAGUAUGUCGAGAAGAGUGCUAUUAUUCUCAUACAUAAAUACUUAAAAUUCUUAAUUCCAAAAAUAAAUCUAAACCAUUAAUAUCUAAAGUACUAUUAUGUUUUAGUGAAUUUUCUAAAUUAAGACAACUAUUUCAAUUUUUUAUCAUCCAAAAAGACUUCAUUUUUCUUUACUUAUAAAAAGCCAAUUUUUUUCAUAUAUCUUAAAUUAACCCAAUCUACUUUGUAGUGAUGAUAAAGCUUGAUCUACAAUAUAUAAAAAGUAAUCAAACCUAAAUUACAAAAUAAAUUACAGACCAUACAUGUUUGAAUUAUUAGUAGUUUCACUAGUAGACUAUUAAAAUUUCACAUUACAUAUAUUUUUUAUUUUUUGAUAUUUUAUAACAUCAUUAAAAUAAGUAUAUAACAACAUCUGUACGGUUAAAUCUUCAAGAAAUAUUUGAUUUUAUUUUAAAUAUUAAUUGACAUUUUGAGAAGAAAAAUUAAAUUUUCCGAAACCAACUUGAAUCGACUCGAAUUGUUCAUGAAUAACUCGAACUCGACUCAUUUCUUAAUGAACUCGAGUUCAAACGACAAAAAAUGUUUGAAAAACUUAAUGAUCAAACUUGACUCGUUAAACAAAAUCCGAACUCGAAAUCGAUAAGCAGCAACUCAAGCUCAAACUCGAUAAGUGAAAAAAUUGAUUCGACUCGGUAGUUCACAUCCCUAACCUUUUUAAUUUAAGUAAUUGGUAUCUUGGUAUCUGACCGAUUGCUUAAAAUAUGCGAGAUUAAAUGAAUCGGUGCAGACCUGGGACAACCAUACUCCAAGCCCAUGUGGUGUUCAAUUCUCGAAACGUAAAGACGGGAAAGGAAAGGAACAUCUAUACCUAGACAAGUGAGGUCUCGUUGUCAGCACAACCUUGUCCUAAAAUUUAGCUAGAUGCAUCUUCUGGACUUGAUUACACAACCAGAUGUCAAACAAAGACUACUGUACUACCGAAACUCUCAAUGACUUGUGUUUCACAUUCAGAUCUACUCGCAACAUUUUCAUAGAUUCGGGGUCUUCAAAUAAAGACAACCAAAUAUGCGUAAAACCAAGUAUCUUUUGUUUUGGUUGUGCAGCAUGCAUCAUGCAUGGACCCUCUGAUGGUCAUUCUCAAUACAGCAUAAUCAACGAUAUCACAUGUCGACAAUAAAGAUAUUAUAGGUUGUCGUGAGGAAGAAUUAUAAAUGAAACGUAAGAAGACAAUUUAGUAAGGAAAAAAAGACAAUAAAUAUGUUAUCACCAUUCUCAUUUUUAAUCUAGAUCCUGACCGCUAUGCAUAUUUCAUAUAUUUUAGACAUAUUAUAGAAGAAAAAUUCAAUUAUUAGUUUUCUAAUGUCCUCUCUUUUUACUUGAUCAAAUAUGUAUUAUAAUUUUUCACACUUUGUAAAUAAUAUGAUAUAAUAUAAAACUAUUAUAUGUGGUUCAACAAAAGAACACAAUUAUUUUAGGAAUUCUAUUGAUACUAUUUAAUUUUGUUAUGAUCGGUGUUUUCAUCCAAUUUUUAUGGUCUAAGACUAUUCAAAGGAGAUGACCAACACUGCAUCCCACCAUCAUAGAUAUCCAUUUAAAUGACUAGCGCAACCUCCACCGCCAUGAAUAUCCACUUAAAUCUAUAUUGUUUUUGCAGAUUUGAACCUACACACGCAGUUCUUGUUAUGUUUGACAAAUAUUUCCAAAUUGAAUUUUUGUGGCCGGAUAAAAUUGAUAUUUUUCGCAUUUUUCUAUAUAACAUUGACACAUCUCAAUAUCCGUCUUCAAAAAGAAGAGAAAAACUAUACAAAUAGUUCAGUAGUUCACUAUGUUUGAAAAGUCAUUUCAGACAAAAAGGAUUCUCUCAAAUUAUCCGUGUGUUGAGAAAAGCAGCCCGUGAAUUUGAAUCUUACAUAUUACAGCUCAAUUGUUUUUUUAACAAUGUGUUAUAAACUUUUGGACUGAAGUGGAUGAUUACUGUAUAAUACUUAAAAGAAUUAUUGUUCCUUGGAGUGCAUUACAAUAUCAAAGGAGACGAAUUAUUGUCUAGGAAUCUUAACGCGGAUUGCAUGUGCGAAAUGCUAAUCCAAGUCAAAGAUGAAUGUUUCUCAAUUCUAAUCUUGCCCACAACUUGUAUCAUGAAACACAUAUUAUGAUAAUGGAGUAGCAUUUUUUUUGUCUAGAAUAGUAAAUUCUAGCAAUAUUCUUUUUCUAAUCAUAUUUGCAUAAUUAGUAGCUGCUAAUCAAUGAUUUAAAGCCAAAUUAUCUUGAUUCCAAAUGCCACAUGCCAUCAACUAGCAGAUCAGAGUUGCUGUCAAAAAGGAAAAAGCAACAGCAAUGAGUUGUAGUUUUUGGCCUCAUCCCUUCUGAUCUCUGUUCCAUGGUUUAUUUAUAAUCAGUUUGGUAACUAAUACAAGAUUUAGGGUCCAGAUGUAUUAGGAGAUCAGAUUUUAUGUCUGAAUAACAUGACACAGUAAUGUCGGCAGAGUGGUUUCUGUGAGCCAUAUUGAUUUCUCCUGAUCAGUGAAUCCGUCAACAUCACGCGACUGUUGAGGCACAGUGAAUUAGUGAUUUAUGUAAUCCAAUAAUAGUUGAUUAAUCAAAUAAGCGGAUGCUCUUAUUACGUGAUUAAGGGAUGCUACAAGUUCGAUACUGUCGGUGAGUGGGAACAUUAAGCUUUGGGGGCAGAGAAUUUGUAUGAAGCUGAGUUUAUUGCCUGCAGCUGAAUCUGAUGUAGUUAUGUGUAAUCCUGUUUUGAUGGAAUUUGCAAGGGGACACUUUCGUAGCACCAUGGCGGAAUUAAGGAUGGCUCACCUAUGUUGAAGUCCCGGAUGAAUGUAAAUCCAUCGUGUGUCAUAUUUUUCCAAAUCCUGACAUUUAGUUAAAAAUCAGUGGAAAUAUUAUUUCAAGCCCCAGCUAGCAUCCAAAAAUUAGCGUUUAUCAAUUUUAGUCCCCACUAUUCUGGAAUCAUGAACCGGGGCGUACUGUUAUUACUUUAGCACCAUAAGCGAUAGGUUAUGACAGAACAGGCUUCUUAAUCACUGCAUUGUAUCUUCUUAUGAGGAAUCGGUAAAAGCAAGGCAUUCAAACAAAUAUUACAAAAUGGACUUGAUUGAUUUAUGGACUACGCAACUUCAGUCUGAUAGAAGCUAGCUUGUUAAUAGAGAUUAUUAAAAGGGGAAUAUUUUCCCAAUGUGCAUAACUAACAGUAUCAAUCGGUCAAUACAUAUUGCAAUAACCGCACCACAAGUUCAAAGAUCGAAAGCUCAUAGUUGAAUACUAAUUAAAAGUGGUUAGUAUCCUAAUAUAGUUGCCAUUACUAAACUCAUUAAAACGUAUAGUUUACACGAUGAAUUGAAUGGGAACAUUAAGGUGCUGAAUAUCUUGCUCAGUGACAAACUGUUCCAGAUUUAUAAAGAUGGGUAGGUACUGUGAGAAGCUGAAAGUAGAUGUAGCUUUAAAACUCUUUGAACUCAUGAUCCAUAAUGAUUUGAUAUAUACCGACAAUUGAAACUAGCAUCAUCUUGUUAAAUAUUUCAGAUUUGUAAAGAUGGUUGUUUCAAGAACCAAUCUGAUGAUAAAGCUCUGUCUUCGUUCAAUAUGUUGCAGUGUCCUUUAAUUUCUGAAAAUAUAGCGAUUUCAAUAUUUUCAUUCAGUGAUCUUAAAAAUUAGUUGAACACACACCAUGAAGCACCUUGAGGACUUUCCUGGUGAAGCAUUACAUCAUCUGAAUUUGUGUUAAGAAAAAGGUGAUGGUUAUUCACGAGGGUUCUACGUGGACAAAAACGAUGACCAAUUGCAACAUAUAAGUUCUGAAGAGGCUCUCAGCUAAUCAUGUUAGGUACAGAAUGAAGUGAUAAAGACCCAAUGGCCAGUAGUUUAAAUACUAAAUCUCUAAGCUUCUCACACAGUUCAUCAAAUUAUCGCGUGCAGACAGCAUUCUCACAAGACAGAGCUUCCUACACCUCCUUUUUGCAAAAUUUUACUGGAUACAGCACAUCUAAAAUAUGAGCGUGUGUGUUGAAAGGUUUUUUUGCAGUGCAACAGCCAACAGCCAACAAAAGGACAAAGCCAUCACAAACAUAAAGAUGUGAUCCAUGUUUUUGUUCCAUCUAGGUGUUGCUCUGCCAGAACUCAUGCCUUUAAGAGUGGGAAGCAUCCAUUAUUACUGUAACUCUCGAGUCUCACGUUGAGAAGUGUGAGAUAAUUAUGCAGUUUAUAAGCAUAAUACAACUACGUUGUGCACCAUAAAGUCAUGAUCGUUCGAGAGUUUUUGGCGGACUUGUGAAUCACCCAAAUCGUUGCAUUUCAGCUCUUAUAUGUAAGCUUAUUUUUUAUUUCCAAAUUGUUGCAUUUGAGCUACUAUGUAUAAGCUUAUUUCUAAUUUAUGAUUUAGCAAUGAGGAUAGGCCCGGUUUUCUUUUUUCCAUUUUUUGUUAUCCCAAGAUUUUGCAGUAGAGCUCUCACCAGCAACUCAACUCAGAGAAAACCUCUCACUAUAUGUUUUUAGGUAAAUGAGGACGACACCUCGUAAAAAUUUAUAUCAAGAAGAGAGAAUAUACGAAGAGAGAAAAACCACCAAGAACAAACUCAAGGGGCAACACCAAACUCUAACUAAGAACAUAUGAUAAAGAUACAAGAAUUCCAACCAAUAAACAUUAAACAAGAAAUCCAAAUAAAACCAGCAAACCACCAGAGCUCCUUAACCAGCUUCCAAAAACCAAAACAGCUCGCACCACCCAGACCUCUGCGCCACACCAACUUCACAAGACAAUGCCAAGACGCAGACCACAAAAUCUGCCACCACCAGCUCAGCAGACAUAUUCCUCCGAACAAAUAACCGCAGCAAUUUUCCACCAACACAUAAGCACCACUCCUGAGCACAACAGCAUACACAGAAAUACCAGACCUUCGCACGCAAACAUUAGAAAAACUAUUAGCACUUCCAUUCCCAUAACAAAAAACAACACAGAUCCACCACCAGAUAACUAUACCAAAUCCCAGCCAACAAAAACAUUGCAAAAACUGCAGUUCCUGCCAUUCAAGGGAACUCCGACAAAUACCCCAGCUGCGCAAUUCUGCUAAAACUCGAGCUGACUUCACAAAAUUUUAACCCAGCAGCUUUUUCUUAACAUCGUCCUCAAUGUCUGCGACAAUAUCCCAAACUCGCUUCCUGGCCAGCUGAAAUAAUCUAAAUUUCACAGCCGCGAGAAGCAAUUUAUUGAUCAGGCUGUGAAGGGAUUUUCCCCGCCGAAUAAAACACUCCCAGUCACCAGAAUACAUUGAACAAUAUCCUUUAGAUUGGAACACCUUUAACACCUCAAGACAGAAUUCACAUUCAAAAAACAAAUGUGAGAUUAAGCAGUCGACCUCUAAUUGCAAGCCACAAAGUAAAACAAUGUUUCGGAAUACUUUUAGCAAACCAAAUAUGAUGCCAUCAGGGAACAGUAGGCUUACAUACCCUCAAAUCCUCCCAGACCUGUCGCACACUAACUGGUCCUGCUUCCCUUUUCUCGACAACCAGAUCACUUUAUCAGGCCCCUCUGUAAAGAGCUGUUCACGAACCGAGCUGUUCGCGAACAAGCUCGAGCUCGGCUCGAUAAAAACUCGGUUCGGCUCGGUUCGUUAAGAACUCGAGCUCGAGCUCGAAUACAUAAAUGUGUUCGUUAAGAAAACGAGCUCGAGCCGAGCUUUUAGUGUGUUCGGCUCGUGCUCGGCUCGAACUCGUUCGACUCGAGCUCGGCUCGUUAAAGCUCGAAAAAAUGCAAUAUUUUCACGAUAAUUUCGUAAUAUAUACAUGUUAUUGAAUGCCGAAUUCAACAUAUAAUAUAUCAAAUCGAUCAGGAGAAUAUUAACUAUAAUAUGGUACCAUCAAAACACACUAAAAUUUUUAUUUGGCUUGCUAUUUUAAGAGUCAAGUAGCGGUUUGACCUUAUUUUUUUUUUUGGCUCGGCUCGGCUCGUAUGUGUCUGUGAACAAGCUCGUGUUCGGCUCGUUAGUUAACGAGCUCGAGCUCGAACAUAAAUUUUUGUUCGAUAAGAAAGCUCGGCUCGGUUCGAUAGGAAAAAAUUUAAAGCUUGGCUCGGCUCAGCUCUGCUCGUAAACAGCCCUAUCUGUCAUACAAAUAUUAGUUUGUUGUGCCUCUGGAACCUUAGAAACAAACUCAUCAGGCCAAUACAUGUACCAUUAAUAUAAAAAUGGGUUAAUCUUAUUGGGCUUCACACCAACAUAUCAUCCGGGGCACCCUCGAAUUUUCGGUCUCAUUUGAAAUAUUGUUUUUAUAAAUUAUAUCGGUCUUAAAAGUAAAAAGUUAAAUUCGACAGUUUGAGAAGUGUUACUCAUGGGGAUUUAACACGGUAGGCUAUAGAGAUUAUGUAGAUAUGAUUAAUUGAAUUCCUACGUCCAACAAAUGGCUAUAUAUGGAGUAUUAGGGUUCUUCUUAACCCAUCUCUUCCACCAUCAAUUUUACCCAUUUUUUGGACGUGGAAAUUCAAUCAAUUGUACUUACAUAAUUUCUAUAACCUACUGUGUUAAAGUCACAUGAGUAACACUUCUUAAACUAUCGAUUUAUUUUGGAAUUUAACGUUUUAUUUUUAAGACUGAUACAAUUUUUGAAAACGGUGUUUCAAAUGAGAUCGAAAAUUCAAGAGUGUCAUAGAUAAUACAUUGCUGUGAAGUGAGUGUCCAAUUAGAUAAUUAACCCAUAUAAAAAUCUGCCACCUUCGCCUGUUUAGUUAGACCCAUCUAUCUAAUGUCUCUGUAGCUGCAGAAAUUCGACAGAGGUUAAUUCAACACCCAAGUAUCAAACCAGACAUUACGCUGAACAUUGCCAAUCUUACAAACAAUAAAUGGUCGCACUUCAGCCCUUAACCCGAAUAUACAUUUCCAACUCCAGGUAGAAUCCCAAGCUUCCACAAAUUUCCAAAAGUUCCUUCCCCUUUGUCUAUAAGAAUGAAUCCAUUUUACCCACAGCUAGCACCUAUCUGAAAUAAUAUUCCAAAUGUGAUAAGUCAUUAAAGCUUUAUUCCAACAACGUAAUGACGUAAUACCUAAACCUCCUUUUUUCGGAAUACAGACAUCCUUCCAGGCCACUCUAGCUUUUCCUUUAGAGGCCUCCCUCCCAAUCCAAAUGAAGCUUCUAAUCAUUUUUUUCUAUCUGUUUAGUAAUUGAAAUAACAUCCAAGCAAAUGACCGUAUGAACUUCAAGAAAAGCUUCACCUUUCAAUCAAAUUACAAGUAAGAUAAUAAUGAACUGGAACUCAAAAAGGAACAUACAAACAUACACAUAAACUCUAAUUGAAGGAAAGAAGUUAACCUGCGGUUCUGAAACCAGACUUUGAUCUGUUUAGGUUCAAUAUUUGAGAGAAUAGGGAUGUCUCUAAUAAGCUGUUGCCUUCUCGAAGAGCUUGGCUUUGGACACUCAGCAUAAACCCUCUCCAAAGCCUCAACUUGCUCAGCUGUAUACCUCACAUACUUGCUACAAUCCAUUUGUGACUCCCCCAUUCAGCUAAACAAACUAUCAAACACUAUAUCUGCAAGAAAAUGAAACUCUAAAAUGAUGGGCUUUUGUAAGAUUUCAAGAAAUGGGGUCUCUUAAUUUAGGUUCUUUUGAAAUGGGUUGGUCUUAGAAUGUUAAAUGUACAGGAAGGCACUCUCUCAUGUACAAGAGAGGCAGCCUCCUCCAUCAGUCAUCAAGAAAAGUGUGCAUUUUGUUUUAAUAUUUGAAUUGGGUUUUUUCCUACUUUUGAUAGGAAAAAAAAUCAAAAUUUGAUUUCUGGAGGAUCAGUUGAGGACUUUGUUGUUUCUCGAUACCUCUGAAGUUUUGAUGAAGCUAUCUAUAUAUUGAACCCGAAAAUGAUGCUACUCUAGCUGAUCACCCCCAAAAAAAAAUUGAUGACAGCUGCAUGAAAGAUCCUAAGGGAUUAAUCCUCAUACAACAAGGAAUUUCUUUUUUUUUUUUUUGUCAGUCAUACAACAAGGAAUUUCAGUAACAAUAUUUCCAAUAAUUUCUGGUGCAACCAAAGUAUGCGAAAUUUUGGAAAAAGAAUUUCAAGACAACACCAAAGUGAUUUAAUAUUAAACUCGAUUUCUUAAGAACUGAAUUCGAGAACUUAAAGAUGAAGGAAUUAGACAUAAUACACAUUAUAUCUCCCAAAUGAUGGAAGUAAUUAAUCAACUAUGUGCAUAUGGUGAAGAUGUCAUGAACAUAAAAUUAUGGACAAAAUACUUAUCCAAAUGUUGAAUUGCUGUCAAGGAACCAUAGUUCUAAAGAUAAAGAAAAAUAUAAAUUUUUUUCAUAAUGACUUGUCACAAAUUUUAUGUGUUGCUGCACAACUGAUUUACAAUGGUUAUUGACGCAUUUAAAGAGUAAUACUGUCAAUACAUAUAACAAAUUAAACAUUUUAAUAUCAAAAAUUAAUGUUAGACAUUAAUAGGAGUUCUUCGUUUGAAUUCAAGUAUGCAAAAACUUGAUCCAUGAGGGGAACUAGAAGAGGAUACUCAAAUAUGCACAAAAUAUUUUUUUAUUUAAAGUUUCAAGGGUUUAAAGACGUUAGAGAAACUAUAUAUGAAAAAAAAAGAGGGUGUUGUAUAUAUGUGAAGUUUGUGUGUGGGGAAUAAUAACAUUGAGAUUCAUUUCCGAAAUAUAUCUCAUAGAAAGAAAAAGGCACUAUAUAACUAAUUCAAGCUGAGAAAAGGAGGAUAUUCAAAUAUGAAUAAAAAAAAUUCAUUUAAAAUUUUAAGAAUUUAAAGAUGUGGAAGAACUAUAUAUAUGAAAGUACUACACCAAGAAAGUUUGAAGCCUUCCUGGUGGGUGUGUGUGUGUGUACAACAUUAUGUACGAUGAACUUGCAAUGUUCAAAGAAGCUGGAAAAAACAUGAAAUUUGGGGAAAUGCCAUAAAAGAAAAGAUCAAAAUAAUACAUAAAAAUCAAAUAUGAACUCAUUAAAUUGGUUCUCUAUAUAUUAAAAUAUUAUUAAAUUUGAAAAGAUGGAGGAUGGUUAGACUAAUAUUUAAUUAAUAAGUAUAAAUGUUGAAGACAAUGGAAUGUUAAUGUAUCAUCACAAAUUUUUCUAUACUUUUGAUUUGUUGUAUUUCAAGAUGUUUUGGAAUAUCGUUCAUAAAUUUUGAACAUACACACAUAUAAUAUUAAGGAUUGUUGCUCACUUAGAUUUGUGUCAUCUUUAGAGUGAAUGUGAUGCACAUCUUUUAAAUUAUCUUAUUUUAUUUUUUGUAAGAAUGUACUUUAAUUAUUAGAACUACUUAGAAAACAUUUGAUCAAAUGUCAGCGUUCUAAGAUCCAAAUUGGUGUUCAUUUAAACCAUUAAGUGAGAUUUGAAUUCGUUUGUUUAUAUUCGAAGAUGAAUUAUGUGUAUUUUUAGAAAUUUAAAUCAUGGUUCGAACCUGAUUUCUCAGAUUAUAUUCAUUAAUUUAUCAUUCAAACAAUAAUUUGAUAUCAAAUAAAUAAGAUAUUGAAGAGAAUUUAAAUAAAACAGUCUUUAUGUAUGUGGUUAAUGCAUUCGAAUAUCAAACAAAAUACUUGUGUAGCUUAAAUGAUUGAUGGUUUAUUUAUAUUUAUGAGGUAAUGAGUUCAAAUCCUAUAAACAACAAUAUUUUUAUAUAUGAGGAGAUCUAUCUAGGUUCGGAAUUAGGAUCAGAUUCAGAGCUAGCUAAUUUAUUUUACUACAUGUGUGGCUCACUUGGACUGAUAAUAAAAUAUCAUUUAUAAAUAUUAUUUACUUAUUAAAUAAAUAUUGUAAUAUCCCGAAUUCAAUUAUUUGGAUAAUACAUAAUUUAUAUGUAUUCUAAUGAGUAUUAUUUUUCUCAUAUAUUUAUUUUAGUGUUUUAGUUAAAUAUUGAUUUGCCUUGACAGGGUCCCAUGAAUAUUUAAUUAUGGAAAAGGGUAGAGCUGUAAUUCGAGUCGGGCGGCUCGCGAGCUCGCCCGGCUCGAACUCGUUUAAAUAGGCUCGACUCGGCUCGUUCAGUUAAACGAGCCGAGCUCGGGCAAAGGUUCCGGCUCGUUUAAUUAAACGAGCUGGCUUGACUCGACUCGUGAAUUAAACGAGCCAAGUUUGGGUGGAAAUUUAGACUCGAUUAAGUGUAUAAUUAAACGAGCCGCUCGCCCGACUCGCUAAAACCGGCUCGUUUAGCUAAACGAGCCGGCUCGAGUCGAGUUCGGGCAGGGAUUUAGGCUCGAUUAGUUAAACGAGCCGGCUCGGCUCGGCUCAAAUUAUGCCCGGCUCGAAACUCGGCUCGCUCGGCCCGAAUUACACCCCUAGGAAAGGGUGGGUUUUCAUUAAUGUUUUAAACCCAUAAAGCCUACUAACAUUAUAUAGGCUUGAGAGGAGAUCUCUUUCGAAACCUUCUCGAUAUGGGACAAAUAGAAUUGUCGAAUCCAAGAAACAAGUUAAAUUUGGUUUCAUUAUCUGUUCAAUGUGGUAGAGUACAACUUCUAUAUUGAAUAGAAAAACUCUCAACCCACAUUGAUAAAAGAAAAGAGAAAGGAUAUAUAAUAAUAUAUAGUAAGAGUGGAGACAAUGUUUAACCAAAACUUGCUGAUUUUGGCCAUGCAUCUCUUGUGAUUCCGUGGGCGCCUUGCUAGUGCCCCACCCUGUCGCUUGGCGCCGCCCCAUCGUCAAUUCAAAUCUUAUUUUCUUAAGACCACCUUUGUACCACAUCGAUAACAUAAUGAUAUAUUCUCAUGAAUAUAACUAGUGGUCUACUUAUUAAGUCAACAAACUAUGUAAGCCACGCGCCGCCCUGUCGCUUAGGCGCCGCCUGGUCUCUUAGGUGCACGUGCCACCCCUGUCGCCAAUUUAAAUCUUAUUUUAUUUAGACCACCUUUAUACCACUUCGAGAACAAGAUAAUAUAUAUUCUCAGGAAUAUAAGUAGUAGCUUAGCUAUUAGGUUAAAAAUAUGUUAGUCGAGCUUUUCUGAAAAUCAAUUUCUUCCUAGCACUUCGAGAAGGAGUAAAAGGAAAGACACUCCUUUCCUUAUAUAUAUAUAUAUAUAUAUAUAGAGAGAGAGAGAGAGAGAGAGAGAGAGAGAGAGAGACACAACACAUGCUAAAUUACUAAAAUUAGGAAGCGUAGCUGCUAAAUUUGAUACAUCUACUUAUUCCUAAUUUGCGGUUUAUUUUUAUAGUUUUGUUAGUUUAGUUAUGAUUUCAUUCAAUUAUUUUUAAUUAGUUUAUUAGAUUAUUAGAUUAGUUGUAAUUAGAGACUUAAUAUAGGUUUGACUUAUUAUAGUAAAUAAAUCUGUGAAUAUUUUAGGGAACGAAGUUGUUGGACUCCAUGACAAAUAAGUAUUCUUACAUUGCUUCUGUGAAUUGUGAUGCUUUCUUUGGGAAGUAAAGCUAAACCAAUUGUUCAGCUGGCCGGGAUCCCCAACAGUAGAACUUGUGAACGUGUUUGAAUACUCAUACUCAUCUUGACGUGAAAGUAAUAUUUUGAUGACUCUGAUGAAAUAUUUAUUUGGUUCAUUAUGUUUUCUGUGAAUAAAACUAAGUUGAACCGUACAUGCGAUAUAUGCUUACAGAGCUUUAUGAUCCGAUGAUCCCUUUUUAUGUACUAAUUUUACAGGGAAGAAUUUUGGAGAAAGAUAUUUAGGUAAGGGUAAAAAUGUGAUGAACUGAAUACUAGACUUGGUGGGAUUUUCAAGGAGAAGUCUUAUGUAAUCGACAGAAGUAUUUUAAAUGUGUAUUUCAUAAUACGCUUGUGUUUUAAACUUUUAGAGGUGUGAUGUAAGACAUGUAAGACAAAAUAUGUCUUUAAGUUAGGUUGUAAUGUUAAGUUUGAGAUUAUGAAGAUAUAUUUUGGUGUAUUUAGUAGAAUGGCACCCCAGGUCGGGUUACUGAGGUCAUCCCGGGCCGGGGGCGUCACAAAUAUUAAUCUAAAUUUUGUCAAAACAAUACUUUCAGAUCCACAAAAUAUAGUAAUUAAAUAUUCAGCGUAUUAGUUUUGUUAAAAAUGUUUUAACUAUUAUGUCAAAAUUAAUAAAUAUUAAACUCAAUUAAAGAUUUGAUUUUUUGUUGAAAAUUAAUUUUUUAUUAUUAAUUCGUAAUACAAAAUUUUCAUGUAUAAAGUUGCAACACUCGAGUCCCAUUAUUAAAAAUAGAUAAAAUACAGAGUUUAACAUUAUGGGGUUUUGAAUCCUAUUAACACUCAUUAAUUCUAUAUUAGUAUAAUAGGGUCGCGCUCAAGAAAGAACGUCCUUAAAAUAGAACCAUAGAACCACUAAGGUUCUGUUGCGGAACCCUAAAUUUUAAAUAGAUAUUUAGCAUCUAAAUCUAAAUACAUGUUUUUUUCAUAUUUUUUUCGUCGUUGUGUGUGUUCAAAAAUAAUUUUAAAAUCUAAUACAUAGAUAUUGACAUUUUUUGCAUGUGAAGUUCUGCUGCAGAACCCUAACUCAUACUUAAGUUCUGCUGCGGAACCCUGCCUUAUAAGGUAAGGGUUCUAUGGUUCUCUCUGGAACAUGGCCCUAAUAUAAUAUUGUUUAUUGUGGACCAUUUUCAUAGCUGGAUUCUCAACCUUAAACACACCACUCGUUGGAUCGCCCAACAGUCUUUAACUUCAUAUUAGUUUGAUAUUAUCCUCUUUAUGGGCAGUUUUCAUGUGAGAGGAGCUAGAAUUAUUAAUGGAUUGCUCUCAAAAAGUCUCGUAUGAAUGGAGUUGUUCGCCUCUUUGUAUUCAAGAAAAAUUUUCAUCAUCUUUGUGGUGUGGGACUUGGUUUCACAUGCAUUUCAAUAAUGAUUACUUAACGAGUAAAUCAAUUGCACUUUAGAUUUGUCGUUUUGUUUUCUUCUUAUACAUCACUUUUAAUCUUGAUCAUUAAUUUAUUGUAAAUUUUCUUAAAUCUACAUUUCAUAUACAACAUAAAAGCAUUUAAAUUUAGCCAAAUUAUAUAUGUAUAUGAAAAUAAAAUAGAAGAAAAGAGACCGGGAUAUAGUAGUAAAUAUCGUGUUUUAUAAUACAUCCGGGCAUGUCAAUGCACCAUUAUUUUAAAAUGUGAAACUUAAUAUUUUCUUAAAAUUACAAUGAAUAAUUUGGUUGUGCAACACGAUAUAUUUGUUUAAAAAAAGGUAGUAUAUUAUCACAAUGCACAUGUCAUUUUUCAUGUUAUAUUUCAAUAAUACAACAAGAUAUAUUUUAAAUAUAUAUUAUCGAAUCCCUCUUAUGCACAUCAUGAUAUUUAUUGAAAUGAAGAUAAAAAUUAAAUAUGUAGUUAACUCUAGAAACUUCGUAACCGUCUCAUUGUCAAUUGUUCCAUUCUAUUUCUUAAUUCUACUCUACUUCUCCGCCACUUCUCGGCACCAAUGGCUGCCCAACAACAAACCCAGUUUCAAUCUUAUGAUAACGAUCGGUGAGUUUUGAUCUAAUAUUUCUUUACCUUUAUUAUUAUUUUGCGAAUCAUUUAAUUUAUCUUGAGAUUUUAUAUGCAUAUGUGUUUGUGCGUACUUGCAAUUUUUGUGAUAUUUAUCAUCACUAUUUUUUUGUGAAUAGAAAUGAUUCCGGCGUAAGAGCUGAAAAGGAAAAACCACAAAUGGCCGAUGCCCUCAAUUUUUUAUCCUCAAUCAAAGAUGGCUUCGGAAGCGAAAGUCAAGAAUACAAAUACUUUAUUGAUCUCUUAAUAGAGUACAAACAACAAAGGUAACUCUCAGUAAUUUAUUAUCGAUUUCUAUAAAUGUAGUCUUGAUCGUAUAUGGACUUCAAUCUUGCGGCUUUGCAAUCUUGAAUUAACUAGAACAUAUGAUCAUAUUGUAAUAUGAUUAUUCGUUACUUUAAUUUCUUUUUAUCCUUUUUCUUAUAGAAACUUAUCACUUUAAUUUUUUAUAUUUAUAUAGGCAAUUGUUCAAAUAAUUAAAAGCUAAAUUAUAGUACAAGUUACAAACUUAAUCUAGACCCAUAAAUUAAUCUAAUCUAACGGCACUCCUGAAAAUCACCACACACAAUUAAAACACACACACUCUCACACAUGAUCCCUACAUAAUUCUCUCCGUUUUUAAUUUAUUUUUUUCAGUAAAUUAGUGAAAUAUUUUGAAAUAUUACUUCCUUUUAUAUUUAUUCACUUGCCAAUGAUCAAUUCGCAUAUUGUAUGUCCAUAUUUCAAUGUGAUUUUAAAAAAAAUUAUUUUAGUUUGGAGUUUUGUUCAAAAGAUAUAUAUUUUUUUUGUUACCACUAUUUUUCGUUAAGAUUAGAGACUUAAGAAUUACUCCCUCCGUUUCAAAUUACAUGUUCACUUUCAAAAAAUCACAUAGUUUAAGAAAAGUGGAUUUUGAGAUAAAAGAGAUGUAUUAAGUCAUUAAUUGAACCUGGUUUGUGGUAUAUGGUUGAUCUUGGAAAUAUAAAUUUGAAAUAUGUGAAGGAGAGUUGAUUUUGAAAAUAUAAAUUUACAUUGAAAGUUGAAGUGGACAGGUAUUUUGAAACAAAUUUUUUUCUUCUAAAAUGGACAUGUAUUUUGAAACGGAGGGAGUAAUUUGUUUGUUUGGUAUGUCAUAUAUAUCAUUAAUUUUGGGUUUUGAAUUUUUAUGUGUAACUAGUUUCAGACCCGCAGGGGAUACAAUUUUUUUUGUAUAAUGAUUAUAAUUAGAGUGAUUGACACUUUGCACCCCUUAUGUUUAGGCGCUUUUUCGAUUUGGUCUCAAACAAUUCUUUUUGGCAGUAUGCACCCCAAAGUUUGAAAAGCGCUUCGCUUUGCACCUCUUUGACCAAUCUCCGUUAAUUGACCGCUAAAGUUAACAGAUUUCAGGUUUUCACUUUGCACCCCACAAUUUUAAUUUUUUUCAUGAGUGUUUUGAAACAUUUUUUUCAAUAAAAAAUAUUUUCCUCAAGACUGAAAAAAAAUAUUUCAAAACAUAAGCGUCCACUUUUUGGCAGUAUGCACCCCAAAGUUUGAAAAGCGCUUCGCUUUGCACCUCUUUGACCAAUCUCCGUUAAUUGACCGCUAAAGUUAACAGAUUUCAGGUUUUCACUUUGCACCCCACAAUUUUAAUUUUUUUCAUGAGUGUUUUGAAACAUUUUUUUCAAUAAAAAAUAUUUUCCUCAAGACUGAAAAAAAAUAUUUCAAAACAUAAGCGUCCUGAGAUUACUUAAAGGUUGAAGAGAGAACAGCUCCCAAGAAAUUUUCACCUUUUGUAGCAUCAGACAACUGAGAUUCGCAAAUAUGCAGAAGAAGCCGCCUGAGAAUUGUUGCGGAUGGUACUUUCUCCACAAACUUUCCCACGAUUGGAAUGUCUGCUAAACCCACCAUGAUUAUUGCUUAUUUUUCAAAAAGAAUAACAAUAAUGAUUAUUGGCUAAGACAAGGAAACAAGUAGGCAUUUCAGUCUUGAGGAAAAUAUUUUUUUUUGAAAAAAAAUAUUUCAAAACACUCAUGAAAAAAAAUUAAAAUUGUGGGGUGCAAAGUGAAAACCUGAAAUCUGUUAACUUUAACGGUCAAUUAUCGGAGAUUGGUCAAAGCGGUGCAAAGCGAAGCGUUUUUCAAACUUUGGGGUGCAUACUGCCAAAAAAAAUUGUUUGAGACCAAAUUGAAAAAGCGCCUAAACAUAACGGGUGCAAAGUGUCAAUAUUUGUAUUUAUUUUUUAGUUGCGUAUUAUUUUUCUAAUAAAUAAUAUUUAUUUUUGAGUAUAUUUAGUUUAAAAUAUGAUUAUUUUUUGUAUUAUUAUAGUUUUUUGGAUCCAAUUUAAGUUUUUAUAUAUGAUUAUAAAAGUUGAAUUUUUUAUGAGAGGAUUUUGUGUUUUCAUGCCAGUGUUAUCACCACAUUGUUCUUGACCAACAUAUAUAGAGCUCUUAUAGUAAUAUAAUAAUAGUAAUUAUUAUUAAAUGAAAACAUUAUACAUGUGAACAUAACCAAAUUUUGAUACCUUUUAUAUUUUGGUACUUCUCAUCAGUUUUGCUUAUUCAUAAACAGUACAGAGAGUAUAUAGAUGGUUGAAAGGAAAUUGGUUAGGUAAUGAUUUCUUGGGUACAUGUAAUGCAAAGUUAGUUUUGAUGAAUAUGAUAUAUUAAAUUGUGACCUACUUUUUAAAUUCUGUUAAGAGCUUUAAUUAGAAAAAUUCAUGGCACAUUUUGCAGAAUUACCAUCCCAGUGGUUGUAGCUAGGGUCAAGCUGUUAUUUUCGGACCGACAGGAAUUUAUCGAAGGAUUUAACAAGUUCUUGCCUGCUGGAUACGAGAUCUCCCUUCCACUCUCAAGGGGUCCUCAUAUAAGUUAUGAAAAGGCUAGAAAUUUUGUUUCUAAAGUCCAGGUACAUUUACAGUAACAAAGAAUCCGUAGUUCUAAUUUUUGAACUUGUGAGUUUCUCACACAACUCAUCAAUGUAUUUAUGCAACAUGCAGGCAGCAUUUUCGCAAGACGAAGAGCGCUAUGUCUCCUUUCGCCAAAUGAUUGUUGGUUUUUUGCAAGAAGGAAAAAUGAGUGGUCUGGAGCUGAGUGCAAAGGUUAGAAGAUAUACCCUGUGCUGAUAAAAUUUAGAUUAAUAGAAGCAUAUAAGUAUCACUUUAUAACCUCUGUUCCUUGGUUCAAAAGUUAAAAAUAUUGUCCUUUGACUCCAUUAUUAUUGAAAAUUUGAUGAGACCCCCUUUAUAUACAUCAACCACCCAAUCACAAUUUUCCACUUGUUUGUCACAUCAUUUGGUAAAAAAAAUUGGGAAAUUUUUCUUGGGUACGUAGCAUUACCCCGUUAUUAUUGAUAUGCUAUAAUAAUUUCAUCUUCUGUACGUAGGUGUGCGAGUUUCUAGAGGACAAGCAGGACUUACUUGUAGAAUUGUUUGAUUUCAUAUGUCCCUGAUUAUCUGCUUGUGGAGACUUCCCAACAUGUAGUUGACAGUACAUGCUUGUGGAGACUUCCCAACAUGUAGUUGACAGUAAAAGAAUAGAUAAGCAUGCAUCAUAAACAGGAUGUGAAGUCAACAUAUGUCCCUUCUCGAGUUGCUCUCUGAGGAGCUGUGGCUAAUGUGGUCUCAACAUUUUCUGAUAAAUAGGAUUGUAGUUGAAGUUUAAAACUUGUAUGCCGUAUGCGGUCUGGUAUCUGAAAUUGAGCAUGACUCUAUCCUGGAAACUCUGAGCUAAAAACUUUUAUGUUGUUUGGUAUUUGAAAUAGAGCAGACUCUUACCUUUCCAAAACUUCAUAUAUGUUAAAAUUCCAAGUAUUAUAAUUAUAAAAUAUUUAAAAAGAUACUGAGUAAAAAGUGAAACUAUAAUUCACUCUUUUGUUUUCUACAUCACCACCUUACCAAUGAACUGCGCACAGCCCCAGUAUUUAUAGAAGAGCAAAGCAAGCGUGUGCAUUAGCUAAGUUUACAAUUACAAUUGUUUGUUUACUAGCAAUAUUUAUUACCUAGCAUUGGUACUAUCAGAACCCGGUCAUUUGCUUAACUUGGUGGGUUAAAUUGGUGUGCUAUGAUCGAGCUGCACUUUGACAAUCACUUUCAUCUUCACGUUAUAAUUAACACUCCGUCAAAUCUAAGCUGUUACAAAGAUUGGUUGCCUCGUUAAAACCUUGCAAGGAAAAACCUUGUGGGAUAAAAACCUUGUCGAAGUAAAAAGAGUACAAUCUCCCCCUGAAUGAAAUGUCUCACAUUUUGAUGUAGCAAACUUUUUAAUCUAUCUUUGAGAUUAUUCCAAAGGGUGAGUGGAUAUUUUUGAAAGUGAGGUAUUCAGAUUUUAGGUCUUCAUGGAUGUGAUGCCUAAGAAAAAUAAUUGUUUUUGCAUUUUGUUCAAUUGUUGGGUUUUUUCUGGGUCAAUAGUAUCAAGGACCAAUGAUAGAUAAUUAUUUCCAGAAACAUUCAAGGCAGCGAACUCUAAUUUUACAAGAUUCGCCAUUCUGAAUUUAAAAUACGGCACAAUAAUAUAACAUGUUGGUAAAUAAAAUAAUUAAUCAUGUGUCACAUAAUAAAUUUAGAAAAGAUAUUUAAACCCUUGCUUGGGUCAUACUGGUUUAUCUUAAAAUGAUAAAACCAAGUUACUUUCUAGACACAUUAUAAUCAACCAACUCAGUUCCUUGUCAUUAUUUGUCCCCUCAUAUAAUUAAAACUCAAGUAUAGUCAUAAUAAACUCCAAAUAUAACGAGUCCAUAUUUGAUAGGCUGAGGUAGGGCCUGGUGGGACCGAAGGGGCCUUAUAGGAGCGAUCUUGGACCUUUUUCUAGCCUAUACAGGGCAUGUUUAUAGCCUAGCUAGGUAGGUUCUACUGGGACCACAAUGGAUUCAGGGGGUUAGGGUGAGUCCCGAGUGGAUGAUGUUAUAUAGGCUAAAUGUUUCCUUUUAGUCUCUUUUUGAUCAUUUAUGUGUGUGUGUUUAGACACACACACAAACUACAAACUUGAUCUAGGCCCUUAGAAAUCUUAUUUAAUGGCUUCCUAGAAGUCAUUACAGAAAUAAAAAUACUUCAUCUCAGCACAUAAUCCCACGUAAUCCCCUCCAUGUUUAAUUUUAUUUUUUGAGUCAAUCGGUGAACUUUUUUAAUUCUGACUUCACUAUAUCUUUCCUCAUCUCCUAAGGAUCAAUUUGUAUACCAUUUAUGCUAUAUAUCGAUGUGAUUUUGAAAUUUUUAUUUUAAUUUGUAUUUAAGGAGGUUUUUAUAGGAGUCAUACCAUAUAUAUGGAGUCUUACUCUAGUACAAACUACUAAAUACAAACUAAAAUACCAACCAAUGCUUUUAAUUAAGAGAAUAGGAAGGUUUGUGGGCCUCGAGAGAGGACCCGUCAUCUAGGGGUAAGUGAUGAUAUCUACCAGGUGGGUGAUGUCAUAUGAGAAUAGUUUCUCUUGAGUUAUAUAUAAGAUUUGUAUUGAGUGAUUUUUAAUUGAUAACUGAUAACUAGCAUAUAUAUAUAUAUAUACAUAUAUAUAUAUAUAUAUAUAUAUAUAUAUAUAUAUUUAUAUAUAUAUAAUAUGCUAUAUAUAAAUUAAUGAUAUGUUAUGUACAAAUUAGUGAUUUCUGUAGUUAAAAACAGUGAUNNNNNNNNNNNNNNNNNNNNNNNNNNNNNNNNNNNNNNNNNNNNNNNNNNNNNNNNNNAAAUAUAUCCUAAAGUUUUUCUAUACCUAACUUGUUUUGUUUGCAAUGAAGUCUUUCAUGCUUUACGUAAGAAUUCUAAACAUGUUGUGCAUUAUUACAUCAUAUGCUACUUCCAUUCAUCAAAAGGUCUCCAUGAAAGCAAUUGGUUAUAAGCCGCCGAGUAAGGUGGAGGCGGUAUUUCUAGUUGGGUUUAAUUAUCUUAAAUUCCUAUAGCAGCAUAUAUAUAUAUAUAUAUAUAUAACACCGGGAUUGUUUUAUAUAAAAUUCAUUUUCUUAGAUUUAAUGGUUGUGAUAGAAUUCAUUUCCUUAGAUUUAAUGGUUGUGAUCUAAUUAGUUAAAAAAUCUAACGGUUAUAAAUUCAUACCAAACUAAAAACGAGCUGGCCAAGCUUUCAUUAUUACAUCUUUAAUAAUAUUGUUUGUGUGUGUAUCGGAGAUUAAAUAAGAACUCGCUUUAUAGGGAAAACUAUGAUAUAAUGUCAACCGUUUAAUUUCUAUAACGUACGCCAAUAGAUUUAAAUAUUUAACAACUGGCAACCAAUUCAAAUUAACAAUCCAAGUCCAAUAUUUAGCCCAAAACAAUAUUUAUACACAUACAUGUAUAAUGACCAUUGUGAUACACAUAGACUCAAAAUUUAUAUUCCAUACUCCUUCCCUACCACCUUCUAUCAUACAUCUCACCACCAUCAAUCUCCUUCAUCACUAUCUCCAUACUGUGCACUCAACUUCCCUUUAUUUUUUUAAGGUGUCUUGGUGUGAAAAAAGGUACGUAUAAUUCAUAUCUAAAAAUAUUUCGGAUUACUGUUCAGAUUUUAUUUAUUAUUUAAUUACCUUCCAAGUUUUGAUAUUUUUGGUUUAAAACUAGGUGAUUGAGAUUGAAUUCGAUAAUUUUUCAAACGGUGGCGACGUUGUAGUUGUAUUACGGUGGCCGAUGGUGAUGGUGAUGUGUGUAGAUAUAAACUUUAUUUUUUGCCUAUUUUAAAAUUUCAGCGAUUAAGAUUUGGAUUUGACAAUUUUAACGAGGUCCUUAGUUUUUACUAUAAAAGGGUUCUAACUAGAGUUACAAUAUUAUAUAUAUAUAUAUAUAUAUAUAUAUAUAUAUAGACACACACACAUAUAUAAUUAGCGCCUUUAUUUUACAUACUAAAAACCCAGUUGAAAUAUCACUAAAUUCUAAAGUAAAUAUCACUAAUUUCUAUUACAACCCCAUCUCCACCUCCAUCUUCACCAACCACAACUCCGUCGCUGCCACCACCUCCUUCAAAUCCCCCUCCGUUGUCACCUCUGUCAUCACCAUCUCCACUUCCAUGCCGCCCGCCACCUCCAUAAUCACCACUUCCAUGUCCACCUCCAUUAUUUAUAUAACCACCAAAUCCGACCCACCUCCACAGCUCCUCCACCUCCACCUUCACCUUCGUCUCCACCUCCACCUCAGUCAUCUUCACUUUCGGUAAGAUCUGUCCAAAUUUACUAUAAUUUUGAAUCUGUAUCUUUGCCAAAAACUGUCGAACAAAGUCAAAAACUCCUUCUAUGUCCACCACAUCCUUCUCCUCUUUCACCUCCAGUAUGUCAACCACCACCACCACCAGCUGAAUCGGCAACAAAAACAGAUCUGGAGAUCCUGAGCAUUUUAUGGAACAGAUUUGGAGAUUCUAAGUAAUUUAUGAAAGUUUUCACUAAAUUAAGACGAGGAGUUACCUACAGAUCCAAAACCUACAAACAGAGCACUAAAUAUAUUCCAAAUAAUAAUAAACUAGUCUGAUAAUCCUUAAUAUGAUUUAAAUCCUCGAAAAUAAUUAGAUCCGAAUAAUGCGAAUAAAUAUAAUCUCUAAACAAUAAAACUGAAUAACUGAUAGGAGUCCAUAAAUCCUAAUCAAUGAAAAAGAAUGGGUUGAUCUCCAUCACACAGUCCUGAAUCCCCUUAAGUACCUGCCAGAAGAAGAAUACGACAUGAGCCAAAUGCCCAGUACGGAUUGAAAACAUUUAUAAAACAAGAAACAUGCUCUCCAUCACAUAGUCCCGAAUCCCCCUAAGUACCUACCAGAAGAAGAACACGGCAUGAGCCAAAUGCCCAGUACAGAUUGAAAACAUUUAUAAAACAAGAAACAUUUAAAUUAUUUUGACAAUCAUAUAAAACAAUUAUUUUUAAAAUAUGGAUAUUACAUAUAUACCCCCUUAAAACGGAUUUCGUCCCCGGAAUCUAAUGAAACUAAGACUCGUACCUGAAUAGAAUAAAUGCGGAUAUCUUUCGCGAAUAGAAUCCUCUAAUUCCCAAGUAGCCUCUCGCUCCGAAUGAUUCUUCCACAAAACCUUGACAAAGGAAAUGUUUUUCUUUCUCAUGACUCGAUCCUCUCGAUCAAGAAUAGCUUCUGCUUCUUCCUCGCAAGAAAGAUCCUCCCUAAUCUUAUGUAAAGGAUACUGAACCACGUGAAACGGAUGAUACUUGUAGCCCUUUAGAACAGACACAUGGAACAUAUUAUGCACAUGAGAUAACUGCGGUGGCAAAGCAACUCUAUAUGCAACCUCACCCACUCUCUCUAUAACAUCAAAAGGACCCACAUAUCUCGGACUAAGCUUCCCCUUCAUACCAAAAUGCUUAACACCCUUCCAAGGAAACACCUUCAAGAACACAUGAUCACCGGUUUGAAAUCCACCAAACUUUCUCUUCUGAUCUGCAUAAACCUUUUGACAUGAUUGAGCCUUCUGCAAAUUUUCUCUAGCUUGCGCCACCUUCUCAUUUGUCACUCUAACCAACUCUUGACCUUCAAUAUCUCUCUCUCCAACCUCAUCCCAACAAGUCGGUGCCCUACACUUCCUACCAUACAAAGCCUCAAACGGUGGCAUGCCAAUACUUGUGUGCCAGCUGUUAUAAUAUGCAAACUCAACAAGAUACAAAUACUUAUCCCAAUCGCCUGUCCACUCUAAGGCACAAGCUCUCAACAUGUCCUCCAACGUCUGAAUUGUCCUCUCCGACUGUCCAUCUGUCUGUGGAUGAAAGGCCAUACUAAAGUUAAGUUUUGUUCCCCAAGCUCGCUGAAAUACCUUCCAAAAGUGUGAUGUGAACCUCGUAUCUCUGUCAGAAACUAUAGACACAGGCAUACCAUGAAGUUUAACAAUAUCCCUCAAAAAAAUCUCCGCUAACUCAUCAAUGGGAGUAGUCUCUCAAAUAGGCAAGAAAUGAGCAGAUUUAGUAAGUCUAUCAACUACCACCCAUAUGACAUCAUUCUUCCUAAAAGUCCUUGGUAAACCGGUCACAAAAUCUGUGGUUAUGUUUUCCCACUUUCAAAUCGGAAUAUCUAACUGUUGUAACAUUCCACUAGGUCUCUGAUGCUCUAUCUUCACCUGUUGACAUGUAAGACACUUACCCACACAAACGCCGCUAUAUCUCGCUUCAUCCCAUUCCACCAAAAAUGUGUCUUCAAAUCCCUAUACAUCUUAGUAGAACCCGGAUGAAUAGAAAAUGAAGAACUAUGAGCCUUGGUCAAAAUUGCGUCACGAAUUGUCGAAUCUAAAGGAACACAAAGUUUGCUACCCAACCAUAUCACACCCUCAUCAUCAACAUGAAAAUGGGUUUGCUUCCCAUUUGUCGUCUCCAAUCUAAUAGCAUCCAACUUCGAAUCAUUCUUUUGAGCGUCUUUAAUCCUCAAAAUAAGAUUAGGUUCCACCUUUAAGCUUGCUACACUGCCAUCUGACCCUCUAACAUACAACUCCACACCUAAGCACUCUAAAUCUGAAAAAAGAUGCGGCUGAGUAACAAGAGAGGCCACACUCCCGAAGUUCUUCCUACUAAGAGCAUCUGCCACCACAUUAGCCUUCCCUGGAUGGUACUGAAUCUCAGCAUCAUAAUCUUUAAGAAGGUCAAGCCACCUCCUCUGCCUCAUGUUCAACUCCUUUUGAGUAAAAAUGUACUUAAGACUCUUGUGAUCAGUGAAAGUAUCACAAGUCUCUCCAUAUAGAUAAUGUCUCCAAAUCUUCAAUGAAAAUACCACCGCUGCUAAAUCUAAGUCGUGGGUCGGAUAAUUCACCUCAUAGGGCUUAAGCUGUCUAGAGGCGUAAGAAAUCACCUUCCCAUGCUGCAUAAGAACACACCCCAAACCUACCUUAGAAGCAUCACUGUAAACCUGAUAUCCCCCACUGUCUGAUCGUAAAACAGGUAUAGCAGCUGACACCAACCUCUUCUCUAACUCUUCGAAGCUCUGCUCACGAUCAUCAUUCCACUCGAACUUAGCACCCUUCCUCAUUAGUUGAGUCAUUGGCAAGGCUAUGGAUGAAAAACCCUCAACAAACCGCCUGUAGUAGCCUGCCAAACCCAAGAAACUCCUUACCUCCGUAACAUUAAUGCUAGGUCUUGGCCAAUUAGUGAUAGCCUCGACUUUCGCAGGAUCCAACUCAAUUCCCUUACCAGACACAAUAUGACCCAAAAAUGCAACCUGCUCCAUCCAAAACUCACACUUAGAAAAUUUGGCAAACAGUUUCUUCUCUUUCAAAAUUUCCAACACGAUGCGCAAAUGCUCCUCAUGCUCCUCCUUACUCCUAGAGUAUAUCAAAAUAUCAUCAAUGAAGACCACAACAAACUUAUCAAGGUAAUCAUGAAAGAUCCGGUUCAUCAAGUCCAUAAACACGGCUGGUGCAUUCGUCAACCCAAAAGACAUCACAAGAAGCUCAUAGUGACCAUAUCGAGUGCGAAAAGCUGUCUUAGGAAUAUCCUCAUCUCUUACCCGUAACUGGUGGUAACCCGAUCUCAAAUCAACCUUUGGAAAAUACUUCGCCCCUUGCAACUAAUCGAUCAAAUCAUCAAUACGUGGCAACGGAUAUCUAUUCCUGAUAGUCACCUUAUUCAACUCCCUGUAGUCAAUACAUAGUCUCAUAGACCCAUCCUUCUUCUUCACAAACAACACCGGAGCACCCCACGGAGACAAACUAGGCCUGGUAAAUCCCAUAUCCAACAACUCUUGCAACUGCUCCUUCAACUCAUGCAACUCUAGUGGUGCCAUUCUGUACGGAGUCUUAGAAAUAGGCUCUGAGCCUGGAAUAAGUUCAAUACUAAACUCCACUUCUCGAUGCGGUGGCAAACCUGGUAACUCAUCGGGAAACACAUCUGCAUAUUCACUCACAACUGCAUAAUCCUCUAUACGAGCCUCAACCUUGGAUGUAUCCUUUACAAAAGCAAGAUAACCAUCACAACCCUUAGACAAGAGCUUCUUCGCCUUUAGAGCUGAAAUCAACUUAACCUCCCCUUUUGGUUGAGACCCCUGGUAUGCAUACUCUGGUUUAUUCACAUGAUCCCCAAAGAUAACCCGUUUCUCCUCACAAUUAAUCAUCACCCUAUACUCACUCAACCAAUCCAUACCCAAAAUAAUGUCAAAGUCAUGCAUCAUCAUUGGAAGCAGGUUGACCUUAUGAUUUCUAUCCCCCACAACUAUCAAACACUCUCGGUACACAUCAGAAAUACUAACAGAAGUCCUCAUAGGGGUAGCAAUAGACAUAUGCGGAGAUAAUAAUGAAGGUAAGACACCAAGAUAACGAACAUAUGAUAGUGAUACCACAUAAUAAGUCGAACCAGUAUCAAAUAACACAUAAGCAUCACGUGUACCCACAAAGACCAUUCCAGAAACAGUACCUAACACUAGAAUAAGUCUCGGUGGGCACAGGAUUCUCUAUAGAGCCUCCAGUCUCUUUUCCCUCCAAAUAAAAAGCAACACGAGACAUCAUUGAAUCAUCAUCUUCUCUUCAGAAUCCAGUUCAAUUACAGGAGGUGCAGAAACAGCAAAUGAUUUUCCAACCACAUUAUUAUUAUCAUGGAUUUUUUCUGGGCAAUAGUUUUAUACCAAAUCACACAUAAUUAGUGAAUACAGUAUCAUAACCAGGAAAAUAGGGGGAGUUAGUAUGACUAAAAAUAAAUCAUCAAAUACUCUUCUAUAAUUAUUAUUGCAUUGGAUCCCAUUGCCCUAUGUAUUUCCUCCACUUAGUAUAUAAAAAAGCCAUCACAUCUCCAACAAUAGUGGUUAGCAUAAAAACAUAGAAAAAAAAAACCAUAAAAGGAGCAGCCACUGGUGAUUUUAAUUUUACCAACAGGUUCGGCAACAUUUAGCAGUUGAGCAUCAGAAUAAAUUUCAGCAAGCGGUGCAUUUUCUUUAUUUCCUUCUCCAGAAUCCUUUCUCUUGAUUUCAAGAACUUCAGAGGCUAACAUACUCUCCCGCAGAACUACCCUAUUUGGGAAAACAAUAUUUGGUUCAUCAAACACAACAGUAACACCAUCAGUACUCUCCUAUUCCAUCACAGGGCUACUCUCUGCCUCAACAUAAAUAAACAAUUCAUUAUGAUCAUUAAUUUAUCACUAGAUAAUUAGGAUUGCAUAACUACAUACUUUCAACAGUAUAUAUAAAACAAAUCCAUCUUGUGAUGAUCUAUAUAAAAAAAACAAAUAACAAUUUUAAGCUAGCUGUGAUUGUCGCUUCAUUCUCAGGUUUUACUCUUGCUGCAGCAGCUUCUUCAUUCUUUUUCUUCUGGGCUCUCCUCUUCUUUGGACCUGAAGGCAUGGUUAUUUCUUAACUUAUUGAAUGAGUAGAACACACCAUCUCAUCUGAGUCAUGUAUUUAUACAUGCUAAACUGGACUCUUGAAAUCCCAUUAGCCCAUGAAAUAAAUGAAUGCAAUGCAUCCAGAGCAAUUUUGAGAAUGCAUCUCAUUGAAUGACCCGUAGAGUUCCUAUAUAAAAUUUCAAGAGUCAGAAGCGGUAGAGUCAUGCAUGAUUCAAGGUUUUUUAUAUUCUCUGAGCUAAGUUAUGGUUAUAAUGUCGUAUUAAAAUCAAAAUUAGUAUAAACUGUACUAGUAAUUAAAAAUCAAUUACUACUGUGUACUCCUUUGUACUACUUAUUACAUAAGCUUCUGAUUUAAUAAAAAACAUUUUUUUUUAAAAUUUUACACAGGGAAUAUAAUUCUUCCCAAUGUAUAAAGCCAUAAAUGAUAGUAAACCAUAAGGCUGAAGAGCGCAGCAGAAUCAUGAGUCAUGUUCCUAAGUUGCUCCAUAUAGGAUCUUCUUUAUAUGGAUCUUCAACUACUAGUCAUGUUAAUAGUUUACUUGUUCGUCGAGUCUAAUGCUUCCUUGUCAAAUUGGCGAAAAGCCCAUGUGAAAAUAUGCCAUAGAAAUUUUACAUACCUAGACAAGUUUGUAGCAAGCCAGUUCUUUCAUCCAGUUAUGAUGCAUCUUUUUAACUUGGCCUCGAAAGUUAUCUCAAAAAUAAAAGUACAGAAGGAUGUCAAAAAAUCGAGCAGCAUGCAUGCUGAAAAAAGGAUUGUUUUCACCCAAAUGCAAAGAAAGAAAUAAAAUCGCAAUUGUAUUUUAUGAUAUUAAACUCAUUCUUCUAUUGAAUUGCUUUGCGGGAGACUGUAAAUUACUCUACAAUGUCAUUUACAAACCAAAACGUUGAGUAUUAUAUUGACAAGAAGUCCUAAAAAUGUGUGUGUCUUAUACGUAACAUCAAUAUAUUGUUCCUCAUCCUCCAGUACCCCUUCCCCCUCUUUCUUGGUAUCAGACCGGACAUGCGAUUUUGCAUGCGGCUACAUCAGCUCUAUCAAAAGCAUUCAGUGCUCUGGAGACUGAACUCCAGCCUUAUGCUGGUCAGGUUACUGUUGCAGGAGAGCACUGGUUGCUGUUGAUUUCCAAACUUCCUGCCCGGAGAAAUUAGUACUGGAAGUGAACGAUAAAUUUUGCCAGACAUUAUUUUGAAGCACUUUCUUCAUUGUUUUUAGUCGUCAUAAAGGUUUCGGGAGGAGCAGAUCAUGUAACAUUUGUCUUAGUAAUAGCGGAGGAUAAACAUUUGAGAUAUUUAGUCAUAGAGAGUUAUGGUAAGGUUAAAGGAUUCACGAAAUUGGAUGAAUUGAUUGAAACAAGUAUCAGAGCAUGAUCAGCUAGCUGCUUGGAGUUCUAGUGAAAAAGAGAAGGAAGAAAUCUAGACACCAAAAUUUUUAUAUGUGGUAUGGUUGUCCCCUAGGAGUACAUUAUAUAGAGUGAAAAAAUCCCCAACUCGAUGAAAACAGGGGUUAGAAAGGAAACAAUUAGCAAAAACAGUGGGCUGAAAGAACAAUGUAAUAUUCAGUUUUUUUAAAAAAAACUUUCGCGAUCUACGGCUAAUAAAAACUUUCAUGGAAAAAACAACUUUCAAAUCUACGACGGUACAGAAAACCAGAAAUCUGCGCACAUCGGAUUAAAAGAAAACAGGAAGUAUGACGGUUUUAAGAUAACGGCUAAUGCAUGAACAAAACAAUUUUUGCAAUCUCCGUCUGUAAAGAAAAACCAUAAAUUUGCGCACAUCAAAUAAAAAGAAACAGGAAGUAUAGCAGUUUGAAGAAAACAACUAAUAAAAACCGGCAUGCAGAAAAUACUUUUUGCAAUCUACAGCCGUAAAGAAAACCAGAAAUUUGCGCACAUCCGAAUAAAGGAAAACCAAAAGUGUAACCGUUUCAAGAAAACGGCUAAUAAAAACCUGCAUGAGAAAACAACUUUCGUAAUCCACGACUACAAAGAAAACCACAAUUUGCGCAUUUAGGAUUUAAAUAUAACAAGAAGUAUAACAAUUUUAAGGAAACGGCUAAUAAAAAACCUACAUCAAGAAAACAACUUUUACAAUAUACGACUAUAAAGAAAACCAGGAAUUUGUGCACAUCCGAUUAAAAAAGAGAGGAAUUUGUGCAUAAAGGAAAUAUUUUUUUGCACUAUGGGAACCAUAAAAUUGCGCAAAUCAGAUUAAAAUAAAACAUGAAGUAUAACCAUCUUAAGAAAUCAUCGAUAGAAACCUGCAUAAAGAAAACAACUUUUGCAAUUUGCAGCUGUAAAGAUAAUCAUAAAUUGGUGCACAUUGGAUUAAAAGAAAACAUGAAUAUAAUAGUUUCAAAAUAACCGCUAAUAGAGACCUGUAUACGGACUCAUAUAUUUGAGUGGGAAUAUAAUCCACAAAAGAAACGAAAGCAAAAUGAAAUUUUGUACAUGCAGUAUUGAUAAAUCUAAACAUAGUACGUACGUACGUAUUGGUUGUUCACUUUCUUUCCCAAGUCUGGUAUAGUAAAUGCCACUGAUAUGGUAGAACUGAAUUUUAUGAAGGCUGAAAACACAAUUAAGACAAGAGCCAAUAACAUUCUGCAAAUUUUAUGCUAACAACAAUGUAAUUUAGUUCACAUCUUAGAUCUAGGAAUUUUUCCUGGAACUGCAAUGAAUUGUCAGAGAGUUUUCGUAAAGAAACUAUACCAGCGAAAACUUUAGAUGCAUGAACAAUAUCUUUAUGCAAUAAAACGUAGUAUCUACAAAAGACCAGACUGUUGUUGAAAAAAAAUGACCGUGAAUUUGAAAAUAUAUAGAAAUUCAAUGUGGAAGCGGAAAAGAGCAGAAUCAUACAUUCAUACUACAAAGCUGGAGUAUACGGAGAGUUGCAUCUGUUGUAGUAUAGGGUCUAUAUCUGUCGUAGUAUUAUCUAAAUAUUCUUUCAAGUAAAAUUGGAUAGUAUAAUUAGGAAGGAGGCAAACACCAGCACUGAGAAAAAUGAGUUGGCUUUUGUGUUGAAACAGCACUCGACGAUUUCUGGUGCUUGGCUUUAGCUUCCGUAGCUCGUGACACUUAUCCUUCCUUGUCAUCGUGUGACGAAUUGGCAAAGAGUCCAGGUGGACACUUGCCACAGAGAUUUAUAUAGAUAAACAAGGUUGUAGAACAAUCAUUUUUCAUGUCAAUUACUUGGUGACUAAAAUGGCCAGCCAAUUCUGUCAAAGCAUCAUCACAAGCUGCACAAGUAAAAACACAUUUUCGACUUUGCCUGAAAAGUUAGCUCUCAAAUAUAUGUAUAGAUAGACAUUCAGAAAUAGAGCAGCAUGUUUAUAGCAGGAUUGUUUUCACCAAAUGCAGGGGAGGAAAUCGAAUCAUAAUUGUUUCUUAUGGUCUUAAAAUCAUUCUUUUACUUUCACCAUUAUAAUUAAGUGCUUUUGUUUGUUUUUCUUCAUGUUCCUUUUGUUUUUAUCCAAAUACAAAGAAAGAAAAAAAAUCGCAAUUUUAUUUUAUGAUAUUAAACUCAUUCUUCUAUUUAAUUGUUUUGCGGGAGACUUUGAUUUACUAUACAAUGUUCCUUUUUAUAAUUCCAAAUGCAAAGAAAGAAAUAAUAUCGCAAUUUUAUUUUAUGAUAUUAAACUCAUUAUUCUAUUUAAUCGUUUUGCUGGAGACUCUAAAUUACUCUGCAAUGUCAUUUACAAACCAAAUUGUGGAGUAUUAUAUUGACAAGAAGUCCUGAAAAUGUGUGUGUCUUAUACGUAACAUCAAUAUAUUUUUCUUCAUGUACCCCUUUCUCCUUAUUCUUGUAUAUCAGCUGACAUGAGAUUAUGCAUGCUGCUGCUGCGGUACUUAUAAUUCGCUUAUAAAUCAUAGACAAAACUCUAGCUACUUAAGAUUAGAGACGUAAAAUAUUUGAAUCAUGGUAAGAGCGACAUAUAUAUAUAUAUAUUCACCAAUUAUAACAGCAUAUCAUCCAAAAAUGUUAUUCAUUCCAUAAAUAUUAAUUAUAUUUUUAUUAUAUUUUUCUUUUUUUGUUUUUCAUUUCUUGCUUAAAAUUUUAAGUUACAAAAUUUGGAAUGGUUAUGGUCGUAUAAAUGAUAAGUUUAAUAAUUAAAAUAUUUUUGAAUAUAUAUAUAAAUAUCCUUAAUCUUCAAACAUGUAUAAAUUAUAAUAAAUAUCAACCUCUUCUGUAAUUCAUCAAUUAUCACAAAAUUAUGUUCUUGAAUCUAUACUAUACUAUAAUAAGCCAACCUAGGUAUAAUUUGUAAUCCAAAAUUUUAGUUAUAUUUUUUGGUACUAAAAGUCAACAAAUGUGGAGUCUAUUAUUUUUUGGUUUGGUACUCUCACAAGUCUACAAAUGUGGAGUCUAUUAGUAUUAUAUUAUUAAACAGUUUCAAAUACUAAAAACACUCAUAACAAUUCAUUAUCAUAUAAUAUUUCAUUAAAAAAUUAUAAUAAUGUUAUAAAUAAAAUUAUAAAUAUACAAUUUUAAAUAUCUUUUUUUAAACAAGAAUCUUCAUAUAACUCUUUUUAACUUUAACGUGUUCUAUUUCAAUAUAAACACGAACCAUUACAUAACCCUUUCUAACUCUAAUUUUUAAAGUUAUUGUUUUCAAAAAAAUCAAGAUUACAAAAUUACGUUGAAUUUCGAUUGAUUAGAUUACUGAAUCUUUCAAAGGUAUUACACGACCGGCUAUGUUUGGAAAAGGUUUGAAUUUUCUGAUUUUUAUUUUUAAAUCUACGUGUACUAAAUUCCGAUUAAAUGUAAUAAAAUAUAGUCAGUUGAAUAAUAUAAUUUAAUUAAAAUUCAAUCCAUUAAUACUAAAAUACUAAUAAAAUAAUGUUAAAAAUUAAACUAUAAACAAUAAAUUACAAACUAUAUACCCGCUCGUGCUUCGCAGGGGUUAAAGGCUAGUAAUAAUAAUUUAUUAUUCAAUUAUAAAUGUCUACCAAAUAAAAUGAUAUAAAUCAAUUCGUUCCUUCUCAAAACAAACAUAACCUACUAGGCUUUUCUCCCCAUAAAAUAUCCUACCUAGGAAAAUCCGCUUCGAACCCUAAGAUGGAUGAUGGAAACUAACAUGGGUGUAUUGGAUUGAGAUUUUAAAAUAUAUUUUUUAUUCAUGAAAUCCGAGGGUAUUCGAUUGGGAUUGUUUGAAAUCCAUUAAAAUCUUGGGUAUUCAAUUGGGAUUUUAAACUAUGCUACAAAAUUUGGUGGUAUUCAAUUGAGAUUGUUUAAAAUCUAAUAAAAUCUGAUGGUAUUCCAUUGAGAUUGUUUAAAAUCCAUUAAAAUCUGAUGGUAUUCAAAUGCUGAUGGAUUUUUUUGGAUUUCAUAAAAUGAUGGAUUUUGUGGGAUUUUUCGGUGUAUUUUAAGUUUUUUGAAAUCCCACCAAAAUCCAUGGGAUUUUGAAGCAUUGUGCUUAAAUCCUAUCAACUCUACGACAUUUUAUCAAGAAUCCGCACAAAAUCAAAAUCACAUACAAUCCAUUAAAUCCAUAGACUAAAAAUAAUACAUUUUAAAAUCUCAAUCAAAUAGUACACCCUCCUAAGAUUCAACGUGGAGAAACUUUCCGAGGAUCUGCAUGCUGAUAGAGGUUCUUGUGCGGCUUCCGGUGAAGCAAUUGAGUGGAUGCAAAUUAGUGUCCAAAACCUGGCUCUCCCUAAUUUCAUUAAAUCUCAUCUCCAUCGUUCAAUCACAGCUAAAGGAGAUGAUGAGACUCUAAUUGCACACCUUUUUGACUAUAAAGCAGAUGAAGAAGAUGAGAGAUUCGAUGAGUAUGGCCCAUUUGGACUCGUCAAGCUUGGUGCUGAGGAAGUUGUGGCCGAUCUCAACUCCCCGCCCAAAGAAAAUAGUACAUUAUUUUGGAGCACCUUCUUCAUCGUUUUUAAUAGUCAUAAAGAUCUUGGACGAGCAGAUCAUGUAAUAUUUGUAUGAGUAAUAUCGGAGAUGAACAUUGGGGAUAUUUAGUCAUGGAGAGUGAUCGUAAGGUUAAAGAAUUCACGAAAUUGGAUGAAUUGAUUGAAACAAAUACUAGAACAUAAUCCUUGAAGAAGAUAGAUUAAUCUCGAAAAAUGAGAUUGAAUGAAGAAAUAAAAUGAAAGAUACUUUAAUUCUAGUGAAAAAGAGAAGGAAGAAAUCUAGACACCCA